GGAUGAUGAGUAGUCAGCUUGUGCUUGGAUGGCAGGAGAAACCAAUGCAGGACCCUGACUUGGAUUGGCUGAACCCAAAAAAAAAAAAAAUUUAAUUAAUUAAAAAUAAUAAUAAUACACAUAUAUACAUACAUAUUUUCAUGAUUUCUAAAGUUCAAACUUCUCUUUUCCGUUCUUGGAAUUUGUUAAUAACUAAAGCAUCACUUAUAAACUGUUCUGUAAGGAAGACCUAGAAUAUUUGCACUCAAACAGUAGAUGGAAAGUACUUCAUCCAGGAUUUAGGAUAUGGGCUCCGAUUAAACCAAAUAUUCAAAUGGUACAUCAGAUGCUUCAGUACUUUGGACCGUCUUUCUCUAUUUAAAAAAUUAAUUCUUCAUUAACCUUAAUUAAAGUAGUCAUCUUUUUCCUCACAUAAAUCAUGAAAAUUCUGUUUAAAGUACAAGAUUUUUCCUCACUUAGUAGACAUAAUAUACAUUGACCAGCCAACAGCCCUUAGCAACUUUAACUUACAAUAUGCAGGCCACUUUGUUAUGAGCUCCAAGCUAGAUUCAUAUUCAGUUAAGAUGUGCUUCUUCAAUUAUAUGACGAAACAAGCUGUGCUCCUAGAAUUACAUGAAGAAACAAAUUAAAAUACAAUGCUUCAAUAUUUUGCCUUUAUAAGACUAAUGUCUUCACAUACUCAGGAAAAGGUACGUGACCGCAUUAAAAUUACUGAAAACAAAUUGUAGCAAAAAACAUUCAUCAUGAAAAGUUUAGGGAACUUCAACACGAGUACAAAAAUGAGAAGCCAAAAAAAAAAAAUUAAAUAAUGCUGUACCUAUGUGAGUAGGUUUUUUAAGUCUAAAGCACGUAGAAACCGUAAGUCCUAAAUAAAUUCAUUGAAAUUGAAAGGCUUACUAUUAUAUAAUUAUCAUAAAUAAAUAAGCCAGAUGGUAUUUCAGAAAAUAUACCAUUACUAGUUCAAUUGUGCACAUUUAAAAAUUGGGUCCAUAAUCACUCACAAAUAUGAGAAUUGAUGACUUUAACAAUUGACCAUCAGGGAACGUAAUCCUAUGUGCUCUCUGUAAAGUAACUAUUUAUCAAAAAUACAUUGAAAAUCCAAAUUAUUCCAGCGAUAAUUAGUAUACUUAAAAAAUGUGCAGCUAAAACCUACUAAGUCAAAAGUAAGGUAGCUCAGUAUGGGGUCAAUGUAGAGCGAAAAACAAAAUUCAUCAAAGAGUGAAUAUGGUGAUAAUAGGACACUACUUUCUUUUACUCAAGGAGUGAAGCAUACGUGAACGAUUUUAUGCAGGUGGCAUAUUUCUUUGUCUUCCAUGAAGGUUAAUUUAUAAUGCAUGUACAUACUUCAAAUAGAAGGAUAAAUUAGAAAAGAAUAAUUUCUAGAGUUGAGAUAAAGCACUUUAGAUGUAAUUGAGGGAAAGAUGAAAAAGGAAUCAUAUAUAGCACAUACGUUCUUUUAGCCUCAUGUAAGCAACUUUUGCUGCACUCAUCUCCGCUUGCUUCUUGGACUUUGCUUCUUGUCCAGAAAAAACUUGUCCUCCUACCUCAACAGUUGACACAAAAGUUGGUGCAUGAGAUUCACCAGAUUGCUUAGUAUUAUAAACUGGCAAAGCAUACGCUUCUUUCUGAGCCAAUUCUUGCAAAAGGUUCUUGUAAAGAACAGAAUCAUCCUGGAAAAAUAUGUUUAUUAACAAAAUAUGCGAAUAUGAAAGAAGAUAGAUCACUACUAAUACGAAAUUCAUAAGUUAUUCAUUAACAGUUAAUUAGAAGACUGGCCUGUUGAAAUUUAUCAAGUGACAAUGACAUUAAUGCAACUUUCGCCGCUUCAUGCUCGGCAUCUUUUAAAGUAGGAAAAAACUGAUGACUCUCAUAAGUUUGUCCAUCAAUUGUGACCUUACACUUGAAACGACUAGCAUGAGGAGGACCUUCCCUCUCACAUGAAUACAUAGGAAGAGGGAGAUUUUUCUUUUGAGUAUAGCUCUGCAGCUGGUUUUUGUAUAGGUGUUGCAUAUCUAUAAUUCAGAAAGAAAUUAUGAGUCACAUGACUUCUCAUCAUAAACAAUAGAAAUUCUUUCAUUUCCUUAUUUAUUGCCUAGAUAAAAACCAGAAGUCAAAUGUUCAGAAUGCAAGGAAAUAGGAUGUCAAUUCAAUGAAACAUCAGUAAACAUAGCAGUGAUGGCUGAAUCGCCUUGAGGAUAGAAAUACCCCGACCUUACCCUCCCCCGCUCCUUAAAAGAGUACCCUUCAUCCAUACCCCACUCUCACAUCAGGACUGCCAUCUUUAAUAGUUCUUACCACAGUAGGACUGGAACGCACACCCAUGAUCUGUGUCCCGCCAGUACAAUAUUUUAACUAAGUAGCAGCAGAACGCCAAAAAGCAUCAAUGUAAUUGAAUGGAUAAAAUAAGUACCAUCUAAGCUAAAUUCAUACCUUCAAACAAGAAACCAUCGAUGCGAUCAUCAAGCUAAAUGCCCAAGCAAUGUACUAAAGCAAUCAAAUCUAAGAAAUUGAACGUACAAAAUAAGUUCCAAUUAAGCUAAAUUCAUACCUUCAAGUCAGAUACCUCUUACUUGAAAUAAAUCAAGGUUACAGGAGAUGAGAGCACAAUCAGCUUAAUUGGUAGAGUUUAAAAAAUAUUAGGUCCUCUCUGGGGCAUACACAAUGAUGAAGAUGAAAAAGAUGAAGACUCAAAAAGUGAGAGAGAGAAAGGAGAAAGCUGAGAUUAGCUGCUUAGAGAAGGAGGCAGCAGAGAGGAAACCAAAUGGGAACAAAACCCUAACCUUGGGAAAGGAAAUAAUAUAAACAUAUACUAAGGUAUUUAUACGAGAAAAAAUACCUGGGAAAGGGCUGAAAAGAAAGAAGUUGUAUCUAUACCCCAACUGCACCCUAUUAGUUAUUUGAUUGACACAUUGCUUGACCCAAUUGGCUAGGUGUUUCCUCGUACGGGCACUGAAUAUGAAGCAGUGUGAACACUGAAAUUUCAAGUUUCCUUAUAUAUACUUUUUGAUUUCACUAUUUUACUUCUUUUCACUCACCUGAGGCUCAAUGUAAGAUCGUCAAAUAGACGGAAUACCUGAGGCUCAAUGUAAGAUCUUCAAAUAGAUGGAAUUGGAUUGAAAGAUUGAGUUCUCUCACUUGAUAUCAAAUUCAGAGUUAACUUAGAGAUCUAUUUCAUUAUAUGUUAUUAGUGCGUCUCAAAAAUGACAUGUAAUGGUCCACUCAAAUGUUUUAUUUAAAUAUCCGUCCAUAUAUUAUCCAAUAUUCCCUUUCAACAUUACCGUACCUAGCAUUAAUAAAUUUUAGGCACAUCACAGCAUAUCCAAAUUUACGUAUGUCCAGCAAUUUUCUAAUUGAAAAUGAUUUUGUACAUAAAAAUACAGAUAUGUGGACAAGAACAACAAUCAAGAUCAUCAAAUUUAGUAUGGAAGAAAAGAAUACAAAUGAAAAUAUGUGACAAUCCAACUUCAAUUGAAGUUGUUAAUUAGAACUUCACCAAGGCCAACAGAAGUAUGAGAAACAUGAAUCAUAAUUAUAAAAAAUAAUAAUAACAUAAAUCACUUAGAAGUUCUCUGAUGCGGUAAAUUGAAAUAGAGCUACAUUCAAGAAAUCAUGACUAUAGGCUUUGUCUUUAAUAGCCUCUUUAAUCCUCAAUCUUUUGACAUCACCAUAGCAGAAAAGUAAGUACACAAAAUUCAACAAUAUAUGCAUGAUCAAUCAAUAAAACCAAUAAACCAAAUAUCUAAAUCAAGAAAUUACAGAAAGGAAAAGAAAUUAUUACUAAAAUAAUUAUCUGACCUCUUGAUUUGUGAACAUCAUUGACAGUUGAGAUCGUUGCAUUGACCUGAGUAGUUCGAUCUGUUUCUCGAGCAUUUACUUGCACUGCACUUUCACUCGAAGAACCUACAAAAAUUAUUUAUAACCCAGUGUAAAGAAGAAGUAAAGUUUUCCGCACGAACAUGGUAAAGUAAAGUUUUCUGUAGGAAAAUGGUAACUUCAAAAUCCGUUUCAAACCUAUCAUACAUCCCCCACCCUCAUUUAAGACUAGUGCUUGCAAAAACUAGAAGUAAUUUAUCCAGAACAUAAAAGCAGAGAAAAUCCAGUCCAGUAUAAAUAUAAAAUUAGAUAAUACCUACCAUUUACCAUUUCAUUCAAGAACACCACACAGUUAACGAAACCAACAUAGGUAUGUUUCCAACUGUUGUACUUUCAAGUUAAUUUUGAAAGCGCGGAAGCUAAAGCCUAAACUGUUGUUUGAUAAAAGCCCAUCCACUGACUGAUACUUGGCGGGUAGCAAUUCCAUUCAAUAGCAGUCAUAGAAUAAAAGUACAAAACAAACCCCUGUUUAAAAAAUGCAAUGAAGCAGCCAUGAUUUCAAUUAUUUGCAUGUCUGGGAUUGCAGUUGAUUCCAAAUUGAGAAUAUACUUCGAGAAUAUGUUUGAUAAGCCCUUAUGUGAUGAUCGCUGGUUUAUUGAGUCUUAAAAGAACAACUCAAUCAACUAAUGUUUGAUUUGAAAAAAAAAAAUGGCAAAUCAAAAAAGUUUUGGAGUAGAUUCUCAAAAGAGUGAUUAUUUGAUAAUCCACCAUAAUCCCACAUAGUUAUCAGAAUGAAAUUAAAAUCCGAGGAAUGUUAUUUAAGGCAAACAGCACUUUUUUUAUUUUAACCAACACUUGCAAAUUGCAAUUCUUAAACUAAAAGCAUGCAAAAUAAAUGCAAAUUAAGAACGCACCUAACAGAAAAUAAUAAUAAUAAUAAUCUGAAUUGGCAAUAUUAAAAUUACCGUUAGAAGAGGAAGCGGCAGGAGUAGAGGAUGGUGGAGGAGGAGACGAGAAAUGUUGGAAAGCGAUUCUAGCGGCGUCGUUUUGGGCCUCUUUGGACGACUUGUAAAGAUCCGGAGUGGUGAAAGAUUGGUCGUUAACGGUAACGGUUGCUUGAAAGCGAGGGUUGUGGUCAAGGCCUUGUUUGGCUGUUGUGUAUACUGGCAAGUUCCACACUCUCUGGUGGCAUAGCUCCUGCAGCUUCGUUUUGUACAUCUUUUUUGCUUACAAUAUUUUCACUGAUUUUAAUUUUUUUUUUGGAAUGGGAAACUCAAGAGAAGAGAGAAAUGGAAUUUAGUUGCAAAAUUUGAAGUUUAAUUAUCAAAUAUUACGCCAAGAGAGUACGCUUCAGUUCCACGAACAGGUUCAGAAUAAAUGACGCUUGGGAAUGCUGAAAUGGAAUAAGGCCUUUUUAUAAACAAAUAAUAAUAGUAAACCGACGCCACGGUGUUUUAAAAAUAAGUUUUUUUUUUUUUAACCUUGAAAUUCCUUAUCACAGUGACGUUUUAAAAUAAUAUUUUUUUAAAAUGCAAAAAAAAAAUUUCUUUCUACCAUUUAUAAAAAAGAAAACUUAAAUAAUUUACUGUAUUAAACGUUAAAAUAAACUAAUAAAAAAUUAUCGAUAUUCUAAAAACCAAAUAAAUAAUACCUUUCCUUUAUCUUCUUCUCAAGGAAGGUGGCUAAAAACUUUCUUCUCCAAAGAGAUCUUGUUCUAUAAGGAGACAUGACAUGAAAGUUGAAGGAGAGGGUGAUCGAAGGGGGGAAUAAAAAAUCUUUUAUGGUUGGCUCGUGGACAUGGACUUCUUAUGAAAGGUGGUAACGCUGUCUCAACGUCAUAAUUAUACCGAAGCUAAGUCCAUUUCAAUCAAUAUAAAAUAUGAAUGCGGUAACGACUAACGAGAAGUUAAUAGUUUUGGAUCAAACGAAUAUACAACGUCGUUCGUGUGUUUAUCAAAUAAGAAUUCAAUUUAAACAAUGUAAAUGUGUUAACAAGAAAUUGAGAGUUAUUGAUAAGACGAGCAUAAAAUUAAAACGUCAUUCAUAUGUUCAUCAAACAAGAGUCCAUUUAUGUAUAUGUAUUAACAAGGAGUAGGGAGUUUUAGGUAAGACAAGCAUGUUGAGUUGUAAUCGGAAUAGACAGAAAUCAGAAUAGGAAAUGGAGAUCAGAAUAAAUUAUUUAUUUGAACUGUAGGAAUCGAAAUCGGAAUGAAUUGAAUUGUCAUAAAUGUGUUUACUUUGUCUUGGAAUCGGAAUCGAAAUGAAUUAAAUUAUAACAAAUUAUUAAAAAGUACUUAAUAAAUUAUUGUUAUAAUUAUUAUUUUAUAUUUUAAUUAUAGUGAUUAUUUAUUCAAAAAUUAUUAUUAUUAAUUAUUGUCAAUAAUAUAUUGAUAUAUUAAUUAAUUAUAAUUAUUAUUAUAAAUAUAUUAAUUACUAAUAUUAAUAUAUUUAUCUGCUGUACCGUACAUCCNNNNNNNNNNNNNNNNNNNNNNNNNNNNNNNNNNNNNNNNNNNNNNNNNNNNNNNNNNNNNNNNNNNNNNNNNNNNNNNNNNNNNNNNNNNNNNNNNNNNNNNNNNNNNNNNNNNNNNNNNNNNNNNNNNNNNNNNNNNNNNNNNNNNNNNNNNNNNNNNNNNNNNNNNNNNNNNNNNNNNNNNNNNNNNNNNNNNNNNNNNNNNNNNNNNNNNNNNNNNNNNNNNNNNNNNNNNNNNNNNNNNCAUCUGCUGUACGGCCAAGGCGGAUGUACGGUACAGCAGAUUUGACUUUUUAUUUUUUAUAUUUAUAUCUUUUAUUUAAAGAAGGGGCAUUUUAAGAAAUUUUGAAUGUCAACGGAAGCAAAAGAACUCUAGGUAAUGGGAGAUUGAUUCUCACCUCUCCCAAGGAAUCAAUCUCUCAUUCCUCAUUCUCAAAUAGUGGUGGGUUCCAUGAUUUCAAUUCUGAUUCUUACUCCAUUUUUUGGAAGUAAAUGCCGUUAAUCAUUUUGAUUCUCCAAUUUGGAAAAUAAAUGUACCAUAAUAUUUAAUCAAUUAUUAUGAUUAUUGGAUUUUUCAGAUACUUUUAUCUAUUUUGGUUGGAGGGACGAAGUUCACUUUCUAUUAAAAGAAACAUUAGAGGAGCUUUCAAAGUCUAGGCUAAGGUUGUUUCCCAUGGCCUUGAAGCAAUACCCAAAAAGAGCUUUCCGGCUGGCAAAAUAGGCUUGUGUUUCUGCGUCGCAAAAUGAUGUGAAUGAGCUUUCGGAGUGUUUCCUCUGAAAUUUUAGAUGCUGCAAAAUCAACAUUGUCCCGCUCGAAGUAACCCGGACAAUUUCAUUUCCUAAUUUCUUCUUAUUUAUUAUGGCAUUGAUUUUCAUUGCAAGCUCAUUGCUCUGCUAAGAAAAAGAAUAAAUGGGGGCCAAAAAAGGAAGAAAGAAAUAGAGGCAAAGGCAACAACAUUAAUGCACAAACCAGUAAAGGUAUUCCAUCGAUUUACGGCCACUGAUAGCAAGCCGGGGCCUUUAAAAACGGAAAAUACAAGCAAAGAAAAAUAGAAGCCAAUUGCUCAAUAGUGCAUAAUAUGCAUACGGAAAAUUUUCAUCACAUCACGACCCACAGUUAUUCGAAUAGGUAAUAAGACAGGAAUUUUCUUUCUUUGUUUAAAGUGAAAAAAAAAAAAAUCAAUGGCUCAGGAAGUAUCCCUCCAAUCUCCAGAACCACUCACUUGGCACUGGCAAGCUGGGUGCGGAGUAGCUUGGCAGCAGCGACCAUGUUUGAGAGGGCUGGCUUCACCUCAGUGUACUUGCGAGUCUUAAGACCACAGUCAGGGUUAACCCACAAAAUGUUGGUUUCUAGCACAGCAAGCAUCUUGUUGAUUCUGUCAGCAAUUUCUUCAGUUGAUGGUAUUCUUGGAGAGUGGAUGUCAUACACACCAGGGCCAAUUCCAGCACCAUACUUGACUCCCUCACGGAAGACAGACAGGAGCUUCUCAUCAGAACGAGAGUUCUCAAUGGUGAUCACAUCAGCAUCCAUGUCGAUAAUUGAGUGGAUAAUGUCGUUGAAGUUGGAGUAGCACAUGUGGGUGUGGAUCUGUCAAUCAAUAUACAAUAAGAUGAGACACAACAUCAACAGCUAAAUUAGAGAGAUGAGAUUGGAGAUUGAAAGGGCAACUGACCUGGGUAGUGUCCUGGACGCCACAGUUGGUGAUUCUGAAGGAGUGGACUGCCCAGUCCAAGUAGAAAGCAUGCUCAGAUUUCCUAAGAGGCAAUCCUUCCCUCAAGGCAGCCUCAUCAAUUUGAAUAACGUUAAUGCCUGCCUUCUCAAGAUCCUCGACUUCGUCCUUGAUGGCCAAAGCAAUCUGGUAGCAGGUUUCAUGUCUGCAAAAUUGGCAGCGAUUUAUGUUAAACAAUGUUUCCAUUUCAAAAGGUUAACCAAUAGUGAACCAGUUCUCAUUUAUAUACCUGGGCUGGUCAUUUCUAACAAAGGACCAGUUGAGAAUGGUGACAGGGCCAGUAAGCAUUCCUUUCAUUGGGCGAGCUGUCAUGCUCUGAGCCAAGGAGGACCAGAAGACGGUCAUAGCCUUGGGACGGCUCACAUCACCAUAGAUGAUGGGUGGCUUCACACAGCGAGAUCCAUAGGAUUGCACCCACCCAUUGGCAGUGAAGGCGAAACCUGAUAAUUGCUCUCCAAAGUACUCAACCAUGUCGUUCCUCUACAAAAACAAAUGUCCCAAUUCAAUAUGAGAUACAGCAUACUUCGUAUGCAAUUAGAAAUGCAGAAACAAAAAUGUAUAAAAUUUUAUCUAAUUCAAAACCAGGAGACAUUGCUUUGCUUCCAUUGGGCAUUGUGAAACUCACCUCAGGCUCUCCAUGGACAAGGACAUCAAUAUCAAGCUCUUCUUGGAGUUUGACAACCUUGUUGAUUUCCUCCUUGAUGGAAGCAACAUAUUCUUCCUCAGAAAUCCUAAAAAGGACAAAUAGUCACGGCACAGUUAAUACAGUAGUCGAAGUAAUUUCACACAUGGCAUUGAAUGAAGGAAAACCUCAGAUUGACUCACUUCUUAGCCUUGUAUUCACGGCGGACUCUCCUAAGUUCAAUGGUUUGUGGGAAGGAUCCAAUUGUGGUGGUUGGGAGGAUUGGAAGAUUGAGCUUCUUCUGUUGAGCAUCCAAUCUAGCACUAACGUUUGUAGCACGUCUGUGGUCUGAUCCCUUCAAAGCAGCAGCCUAAUUUACCAAGAGGAAGGAAUCACCGUUAGCAAAAAAAGGAAACUCUAAGGGGCAGCCACAUCAUAAAAAUGGAAAACAAAUCAAUCAUGCCACUUACAGCCUUUUGAACUCUCUCAUUGGUCACUCUCGGGGAGGACUUUCUUGAAGCCUGAGCUGCAGCAUUGGCAGAGAAGAAUCCCUGGAAACAAAUGAAAAGGAGAAACAAAGUUAGUCUCAUUCAUAUCAUUUCAAAAGGAAUAUACAUAUGCAAUUAGUGGGCUGAUUGUGAGAGAAAAUGUCCACAAAACUUUAACCAAACACCAAAUGCCCAAGUUGCCAAAUGAUGUUUAAUUCGGAAAAAUAUAUUUAGAAACAUUCAAAUAAAUAAUUUCCCCUUCUAAAUUUUCAUUUUCAACAACAUAUUUUACAAGCCAAGCUCAACUUCAGGCCAAGAUUUUCUGCUCCUAUAAUUAUAUUUUACCAUAAAACUAGGUCCUUGAAAGGCUAAGAUUUUCUGACUCUUGUGACUAGUCAAAGCCUAAGAUUCUUUCAAUUCAUCCGUAGCUAACAUUUUAGACUAAAAGUAUACCUCAUCCUUUUGGCCAGCCAAAGCCUUGGCCAAUGCAUUCACUUCAACAACUUUCUGGGCAGCAAAUGCCAGCCAUGACUUGAUUUCAUCGUCGAGUUUGUUCUCAUUAACAAGAUCAACAGCAGUGUGAAGAAGUGAGCAGGAGGUGGAGACCACAAGCUUGUCUGCAAAGAAAAAUAAUAAAUUAUACAACAAAUCCCAUAAAAGAAUAAGAAAUAUUUAUCACAAAGAAAAAUGCAGGCAAAGGAUGUAUACCUUUGCCAACAACACCCUCAAGCCCCCGGAGAACACUAAGAGAAGCAGCAAGAUCAUUGGCCCAAAUGUUCCUUCCAUCAACCACUCCAGCAAAGAGGUACUUGCCAGCAGGGAAUCCACUCUUGAUCAAUUCAAGGGUCUUCGUUCCACGAACCAAAUCAAAUCCAUAAGCGGUGACACCCUUCAAAGAAGUGAGGGUCUGGAAUGCCUCAGCUGGAACAUCAGCAAAGUAGGUCUCAACAAGAACAUUCAAGCCAGACAGAGUUGACUCUAGCUCGGCAUAAGCCUCACUGAAUGCAUGCAAUUUGUGUGAGUCAAGAUCCAUAACAAGCAAUGGCUCAUCAAACUGAAUCCAGGAAGCACCAGCAGCCUUAAGCUCAGAAAUAACUUCCCUGCAGAAGUGUUAAUUGGUACAACACAGAUUAAUGAUGUCACUCGAUAUAUACACACAGAGUUAUUUAGCACAUACACAUUUAUAAAUCAGUAAUAGGUGAUAAUUUCUUACUUGUAGAUUGGAAGGAUUUUCGGAAGAAGAGAAAGAAGAGAAAAGGUCUUCGCAACACCCUUGGCAGGCUUAGACAGCAACAAGUAUGACACAGGGCCAAUAAGCACUGGGACAGUUUCAACUCCAAGCUGCAGCAUUAGACAAGUGAUCGAUAUUAGCAUCUCACAAACUUGAUCUGAUUGAUAGAAAGUUACAAGCAAGUUCAGAAUUCGUUUAAUGAAAUCUCUAUGAAAAAUCUUCAGGGUCCACAAUGUGUUGAAAGUACCCUUUUCAAGUAAUUUAUCUUAAGACUAUUUUGCAAACAGUAUUGCUUUCCUUACAGAUCAAAUAAAUCAAACAACAUAUGAACACAUUUACUGAACCAAGUCUAAGUUCAAAGCUCUAUAAAUAAAUGUCAAUGAAUCUAUAGUAAAUUCUAUUGCAUCCUAAGCUAAAGAUGAGCAUAUCAUAUAAGAAUUUCAAGGUGAACGUAACCCAAUUUCAAUAUAUUGUAGAUUCAGAUAUCAAACGAAAUAAAAUUUGUAAAUAUAGACAGAACUGAGAAUAAACACUCACCCCCUUAGCCUCCUUGUACUCAGUCACAGCCUUGUGGGAAGCGUAGGAGAACUUAACAUCGGGUCCCAAUUCAGGAACAAUGAAAUGACUGCAUCAACACGAAGCCAAACACGCGUCAGCAUUCAGUACAAAACCAUUACACCAUAAAUAACUUGAAAUGCCGCUCUUCCAAGUAGUGAAUACUUACUAGUUGGUGUCGAACCACUUGGUCAUUUCCAUAGCGGGAACAGAGGCGUUUCCUCUGGCCAUGGAGAAGUAAACAUCAAAUCCAAUCUCGCCGCCGUUCCAGUUAUACCUCGGGGGCACGGCACCGAGCAUUGCGGUGGUGUCGAGCACUUGGUCGUAGUAGGAGAAAGUGUUGCUGGGAAUGUAUUUGAUCCCGGCCUGGGACAUCUGUUUCCAGAUGGAGGAUCUGAGAUCAGCGGACACCUUUUGCAAAUCCUCAGCGCUGCUCUUGCCAUCCCAGAAGGAUUCCAACGCGAACUUGAGCUCCCUCUUGGGGCCCAUGCGUGGGUAUCCAACGAUGUGAGAUGCCAUUUUACUGUCAUAAUCACGUCAUCAAUGAAUCGAAAAUCAGUCACUUUCAUUAAAUCAAGAAAAUAUUCAUUCAAAUGGAUGGGUCAUUGCUAUUACUGCUCAAAUCAAAUGAAAUCAAGAACACUUAUCAGAGCAUAAAAUCUUAAAUUAAUUUUUUUAUAAAAAAAUAAAAAACCAGUUGAAACAAGCUGAUAAUAAUCCAAGAGUUUGAGAUGAUUUUUUUCUUUCUGUAAUCACAUGAACAAUUAUGUACUUUCAGUCAUUUUUGAAGGAUUAAAACAAAAAAUUCUACAAAUAGAUUCUGAAAAGAAGAAUCUAAAAAUAGAUUCAAAAACAGUAACACAAGUAGAGUUCAAAUUGUUUUUCGGAAAAGAUUAAUUACAGAUCUGAUUGAUUCACGUUCAGAUCUAGCAAAAUCACGGCAGCCAAACACUAGAUCUAACACUAACAGUCACUCACCAGUCCAUUAGAAAAUGAAAUCAAGUUCAAAAUUCUUUUAAAGUUAAUUCUUUUUUAGAAAAUGACCAGAUUUUAGUUGAGUAUUAGUGAGUUUUUUACAAAAUAAUUUAUUUUUGUUUUUUAGAUCCAAAAGUUCGGAAAUCAAAACCAUGUUCAAUGCUUAUUCAUGAUUAACGGCGUAAAAACGCUACUGCAGAGAAGACAUAACGAAAAUGGGAACCGUACCAAACAGAGAAAGAAGAGCAGAGAAAUUGAGAGUCGAGAGGAGAGAGAGAAGAGAGCGGCGAGUUUGGGGGAGUGCCCUCUCCGUUAUUUAUAGCCAAAAAUCAAAUCUGGUUUGGUGGUUGCCUUUGGCGUGCCAACCUGUAGAUCUGAGAUUUUUCAUCUUAAUUUCUUUCUCUUAUUUAUUUAUUUAUUUAUUAUGAUUUUCAGUGCAGUUCAUAAAAUAUAGAGCUGACGCGCGCUUUUCUGAUGUGGCGCGUGAAUUGGAAAUGCGGUAGGUCUUUGUGGGCCCCACGGCACGGUCAGGACUGAAGGAAAAAUGUGAGAAGUUAUCAUAAUUUCAACAGUGCCAUAAUUAGCAAUUACACCACCAAAUAUUUCUUGAGUUUUUUUUUUUUGAUUGCUUUAAAUGCAGAGUUGUUAUGAAUUGUGUUAAUUGUAGAGUUGUUAUGAUUAGAUUACAUUAUAAUUCGUCACAAUUAUGAUAGGUAUGUACGUAUAUAAUAAUUUAUGAGUAAUGAUAUAACCACAAACUCUUAUACAAACUUAUUUUGUACAAAUUGAUGUGGCAUGAUAAAAUUAGUUGAAUUAAAUAUUACUUGAUCCACAUGAUUUGUUAUUAUUAUUUUAUAUUUUCAUUCAACCAAUGAAUUAAUGACACGUCAGUUUGUACAAGAUAAGUUUGUACAAGAGUUUAUGGUUGUAUCAUCACUCAUAAUUUAUAUAAGAUCUCGAAUAUUUAAAAAAUUUAUAAAUCAUUAUUUUCAUGUACAUUUACCUGGUAGCAAUGACAAUAACAUAAAAUAAACUCCAAACAAGAAUGGAUUAUAUUAUUUAUGUUAUUUUAUAGCUUUUUAAUUGAUUUUUAAAAGGAUUAAUUGUUAAUCAUUACUCUCCAACCGUAAUCACCAUUAAAUAUUUAUUUAAUUUAAUAGUCGGUAGAUCAUAAAUAAGAUUAGAAUAUUUAAUGGACAAUCUAAUUGCUACUACAAUUGUUAUCAUUUUUUUAAGGUAAGGGAUUAGACAAUACUCAAAUUUAUUUUUUAACCCCUUACUCCCUAAAGAUUCGAAUUUAACUAACUAAUUAAAUAAGACUGCUUAAAAACCACUCAACCACAUCUUUUGGGGACCAAUUAAUAUCGAUGUUUAAACUGAGGUUUAUUAUUAAAUUUUUUAAGUUUCAAGUUUCAACCGCUAACAACAUUAUCAUCGAUUAAUGAUAAAUAUAAUAAUAUUUCAUCAAAAAACCAUUUAACACAUCCAUCCAUAUUAAACAUAAGUAAAAAAUUUAUCAUGCAUUUCAAAUAUAUUUUUCAUCCUAAAAGUUAUGGAGAAAAUCUUGAUAUCAAAACUUACAAUGUAAUUAUGGGAUGUAAUUUUGCAUUUGAGGUCAGCACAACUUAAAAAUUACUAUGAAUGAAAAUUUAUAAUAAGCAGACACCACAAAAAAAAAUUAUUUAUAAGUAUUACAAUCAUGCAGUUUUAUUUAAGUAUUUAACCAAGUCAUUCAAUUUCUAAUUAAGACGGUAUAAAUUAGAUUUGGGCUGCCUAAGACCAAAAGUCAAAAAAAAAAAAAGAAUAUUCCUAAUAAGCAGCCUACCGCGGUCACGCGCCUUAAGAAACGCUUGGACUUAGCACACGAUUUUAAUCCAAAAUGUAUAAAAAAGGAAAAAUUUAUGAGGUGUAUAAUUAUCUUGAGUUGUUAUAUUUUGAAGAAACAAUGAAGAAAGUUGGUGGCCGAAGUUGAUCCGGGGCGAAUGGUGGUGGGCCCACGUUGUUGCAUUAUAAUUGGAGUUAUUGUAAUUUUUCUUAUAAUUAAUAAACUCCAUUUUUCAAAGAAAAUAAAUAAAUAAAUACACUCCCGAUUACGAAAAUAUCAUUUCAUGAGUGUCAAAGUUAGAGCUGGCAAAAUUUGACACGACCCGAUUACCUGACACGAACACGACAUAAAUAAAUAAGUAUGGAUCGUCAAAUUUAACACGAUUAUUAAAUGGGUCGGGUCUGGGUCAACACAAUUUUUUUCCGUGUCGGGUUUGGGUUAAAAUUCUUGACCCAUUUACCCGAUCAAUGACCCGAUUAUAUUUUCUAUUUUAAAAUAAUUUACAUAUUCUUAUAAUUAAAACUCAAAUAUUAGAGAUAUUUUUUUUAUUCUUUAAAAUGGUGAAUAUAAACACAGUGUUUUAUUUAUAAAAUUUUACAUACAUUUAGAGCUUCAAUAGUGUAAAUGUGUAAAAAUUGAUAGACAUGUAUAUUUUAUAAUAUUGAUAUAUAAUAUUAUAUAUAUAUAUAUAUAAUUAAAACCUCAAUAGUGUACAUGUGUAAUAUAUUGGUAGAUAUGUAUAUUUUAUAAUAUCGAUAAAUUAUGUAUGUAUGUAUUUAUGUACAUACGUAUGUAUGUAUUUAUGUAUAUACGUAUGUAUGUAUUUAUGUACAUACGUAUGUAUGAUAGUGUGUAAAUAUUUUAUGUAACUUUUGUUCAAUAUAUAGAUAUUAAACGGGUUAUUGGGUAACCCGAUUGUUUUUCCGUGUCGGGUUUGGGUCUCAAUAUUUUGACACGAUUAUUAAAUGGGUCGGGUUUGGGUCGACCUAAAUUUGACACGACACGACACGAACACGACCCGAUGACCCGUUUUGCCAGCUCUAGUCAAAGUGACCGUCACCUACGCAUCGCGUUUGUUGGGCGGGGUGGGUAAGGUGGGGCGAGGAGUUUGUUUGAUCGUCUGAUUACUUUGAUUUUGAUGAAACGUAUGGACGACGGCGAUGGCUUGCCAGCAAGUGGGUUUAUCAUGAUUUUGAUUGUAUUCGGGGAGAUGCUUAUGUAUAUCCUCAAAACUUCUUGGAAAUGAAAACCGCUGGGGUGGCAAAUCUUGACCAAUAAAGUGUGCGUGAUGUUGCGUUUAUAAAUUUCAAUAAUACUAUUGGCCGAUUGAGAUUAUUUUUAAAAAGUUUAAAAAUAAUUUUUAAAGGUUAAAUGUUAAUUUUAAUAUUGAAUAAAUUUUUAAAAAUUAUUUUUGAUAAAAUCAUUUUAUCCUCCAAUAAAUUUUAAAAAAUAGCGAUACAGUAAUUUUUUAAAAUCUAAUUUUAAUAAUCAAAACUAUUUUUUUAUAUAAUUUUAUAGAUAUCCGCAUAUAUAUAUUAUAAAAAUUCGAAAUCAUUAUUAUUAAUUAGGAAAUAAAAUCAUUAACUUUUAAGAAAUUAUUAUUAUUACCAAUUAUACUGACAUAACAAAAUAAAAAAUUAAUUAAUAUUAUAAAUAUUUAUUUCAGUUAUCAACUAUUAUAUAUACACAAUAAAAAAUAUUUUAUAUACAUAUUUAUAAAUGUAUAAAUAAUUUUUAUUCAAUAUUAUAUCGAAUUAAUCAUUUACAUUCUUGCAACAAGUUAACAAUAAAAUUUACCAAACACAUACGAUUGUUUUUAAAACUCAUAUUAUUUUUUUAAAAAAAAAUUACUAAACCUUUAACUGAUUCUCUUACAACUGAUUAUUUCUACAGUACAAUUAACAACAAUUAUUUUAAAAACUAUAACAUUUUCAAACUAGCCCCAUGACAAUAUUGUUAUUGUUGUUUUUCUUACUCUUAUCAAUAAAACUACGUUGCACAUAAGUGCAUAAAAAUUCACACAAAAUAAACUAUUUAACUUUAGGGUAUUAAUUGAAAAAAAAAAUCAGAUUAAGGUGAAUAAAUAUCAGAAAAUAACAAAUAGAUAAACUCUCACACUCUUUAAAAAAAUUAAUUUUAUAAUUUUAUUUAAAACCAACAGAUAUUACCAAACUUAACGGAUCAAUGUUCCAAUGUUUUCUUUUUAAUUUCAAAACCAACAGAUAUUCUUUGUUCAUUAUAUGACCUCCAAACAAAUAAUUUCAUUAAUAAAAUAAUAAUGAAAAGUAUCGUGGUGAGUACAGAGUAAUUCGGUGGCUAAUAAAAGUCUCUAUUUUUCGUCUCUGUUUUUCAUUUUAACUCUUGGGGUUGGUGCCACUUCGGCCUUGGUCGGAGUGGUGGGCUGCUGCCCUCACAAGUAUUGUGAGGACAGUGGUUCAAGCCCCCACAAAUAUUUUUGUGGGGGCUAACGUACUUAUUUAUUUAAUAUUUCAAAAAUUUCUUCUCCCUCGUGCAAUACGAGUGGAGUAUGGACAUCCCUCCUCUAUAAGGGAUUAUUUGUCUGGGCAUGUACUUCACAGAAUUCAAUGUAAUAAUAUAAGUCUCAAUCAUAUAUUUUUGAUUGUAAAUAUCAAUAUAAUAUAUCUGCUAUAAUAGCAGUUGUAAAUAUCUGUGUAAUGCAAUAAUAUGAUAAUUAAUCAUUAUUCAAAAAAAAAACUCUUGGGGUUGGUAGGCUCGUGAAUGGUCCACGUAACCUCUGGACGUAACACUCAAACAAAGACAGCACAAGGCACAUGAAAAAUGCCUAAAAACCGUAAAACCGUGACGUGUUCAACAUAUUAAUAAAUUUAUACUGUGUUUUCUUUUUUUUUUUAAUACUGUGUUGAUAAAGCACUUACGAUGGAACGACCAAUUCUAUUACUUGCAAAACUAAUUAAUAUUUCACUCUAUCAUCUAACUAAUGGAAGGCCAUCUUAAUUGAGGUUGCAAUAGUUAGAAAGUAGCGGGAAGGGUGGCCAAUGCUCCAUAUUAAUUUGCAUCAAUCCCUUUCUGGUGAAGAAGUACGGGUGAAGUAGAGGUCAAAGUUAGAAGAUGAAGGGUGUGUUUGGGAAUUGAGAGUGAGGUGCUGUAGUUUUUUAGCUGCAGUUGCUGUGAAAUAAAAGUUAUAACUGUGGAAUAGAAGUUGAGAAAAAAAAUUUGUUAAGCUGCCAAAGCCCAGUUACAAAUGUUACCAAACACCUUAGUAGCUAGGCUUUGGCAGCCCAUCUACCCCAUCACACUCCCAAACGGAUUAGAAGGGGACCGGGAUUGCUUUGUCAUAUUUGAAAAUGAUUUUGAAAAAAUAAAAAUUAAGUUCAGAAUUUGGUAAAUUCCUUUAAAAUUUCUUUUAGCAAAAUCACUCUCUCCUUUAGAUUUUGAAAAGUAUGGAAUGAGUAGUUUUUUAAAAUUUAAUUUUGAAAUUCGGAUUCAUAUUUAAUAUAAUACCAUAUAUCAUAACAUGUAUUAUAAAAAUCUAAAAUUAUCCUUAUUCAAUCAAUUAAGAAGUAAAAUCUUACAUUUAAAGAUAUUAUCAUUAUCAAUUAUAUUUAGAUAAUAAAAAAUACAAUUAAUAAAAUAAAAAUAUUUAUUUUAGUUAUCAAUUAUUAUAUAUAUACAUAAAAUGUAAUUAUAUAAACAUAUUUAUAAAUGUAUGUGUAAAUUAAAUUUGUAGAUUUAUGUUUAUAUAGAUCAUUUGCAUUCUUAUCACAUUUUAAAAGUGAGAUUUAUUAAAUAUAUAUAUGAUUAUUUUUAAAAUUUACAGCACUUUUUAAAACAAAAGUAUCAAAAGUUUAAUUGAUUCCUUAUUUUUACUGUACAACUAACAGUAAGAUGUGUUUGGUUCAAGUAUAAAAUGAUGGGAUUGGACAAUUUUAAGAUUAAAUAAUCCUAAUGCAAUGUUUGGUACCAAAAAUAAUUGUGGGAUAAAAAUAGUGGACCCCACCAUUUAAUCCAACACAAUGUCAAAAUUUUAUCACAAAGGGGGGUGUGGGAUAAGCUAAAACUUAAACGUAGGAUAACAAAAAAAAAGCCCAAAAUUUUAUACAACACAGUGAUUUUUUUUUUUUUUUGAGUAUGUCAUCAUCCAAUGAUAGUAUAUAUGCCAGAACACUCUUUUGACGUUAAUGAUAUGUAAUAUUUUCAUAUAUACAGCUAGUGACAUUGUUAUGUAAUUUCUUUUUCAUUUAUAGAUUUAUAUUAUUAUUAUAUUUGUUGAUGAUAUUCUUGUUAUGUUUAUAAUUAUAUUAUUUAGUAAUUUAUAAGUUUAAAAACUAUAACAUGUUAAAUAUAAGAAAAACUUUAAGCGAAGAUUUUGUAUUUUUUAACAAAUUUACCAAUAAUUUUUUAUUUAAGUUAGAUUAUAUUCCAUGUCAUUUUAAAAUAAAUCUAAGAUAAUUUUGAUAAAUUAAUAAAUAAGACAUAUUAUUAGUUACUAACCAAUUUCAUGGCAUACCAAACAUGAGAUAUGAUUAUUUACAGUCUAAUCCAACAUUGCACCAAACGUAAUAGAGUAUUAUAUAUAAUCCAAUGUUAUCAAAUCCAAUCAUAUCUUAUCCAAUCCGAUCCGAUCCAGUCUAAUCCAAUUUGACAUACCAAACAAGCCCUAAUUAUGUUAAAAACUACAUCAUUACCAAACUGACCCUUAAUACAAUCUCAUACAUACAUACAUAUAUAUAUAUAUAUUAAAAAUUAAAAAUUAUCUUUAUUUAGUUAGGAAAUAAAACCAUUAUAUUUAAAUAGAUUAAUAUUAUUACUAAUUAUAUUCAGAUAACAAAAUUAAUAAAAUAAAAAUAUUUGUUUGAUUUAUCAAUUAUUAUACACACAUAUUUAUAAAUGCAUGCGUAAAUAAAAUUUUAUAGAUUUAGGCCAAGGCGGAUGUACGGUACAGCAGUAUCUUUAUUUAGUUAGGAAAUAAAACCAUUAUAUUUAAAUAGAUUAAUAUUAUUACUAAUUAUAUUCAGAUAACAAAAUUAAUAAAAUAAAAAUAUUUGUUUGAUUUAUCAAUUAUUAUACACACAUAUUUAUAAAUGCAUGCGUAAAUAAAAUUUUAUAGAUUUAUGUCUAUUUAAAUCAUUUGCAUUCUUAUAACAUUUUAAAAAAAGAAAAGAAAAGUGAUUUACCAAAUACAUGUAAUUGUUCUUCAAACUUACAACACUUUUAAAAUAGAAUUUAAUAAAUGUUUAAUUAAUUUUUUCACAGCUGAUUAUUUUUAUGGUAUAACUAACAAUAAUCUAUAAACUUAUGGUAAAUAUUUGUGUGAAUGUUGGUCCAUGUAAAGAAGUAAAAACAACGCAUAUAUCAAGCAAUAAGAUAUCAAAACUCUUAGUAAAAUACAUAUACUAAUGAAAGAAUGACAGCAAUGCAAUAAAUAAGAUUAUAAUAUAAAUUAUUAAAAUUGUAUAUUAAAAAUUGAUGUAUGAAAUUCUUUUUAUUUUAGUGAUAGAUAAUGUGAUAUAUUUGAAUAAUUUGAUUAAAUGAAAAGAAAAAUAACAAGUAUGGUUGUGGAGGAAAUAAACCAUUGAACUGUGGAAUGUUAUUAAUUAUUGCUAUUUCAUUAUGUAACGUCCUGAUAAUAAGUACAGUGUUAUAGUAUAUUGAUGGGUGGUGAUAUUGUCACCCCUUAAAUUGUGUAAAGUCAACCUCAUUUACAAAUUUUUUGAUAUAAAUUAAAAAGUACAUUAGUUUUAAUAAAUUAUAUAUUUAUUGAAUAAACUAGAACCGUUAGGGAGCUGUAAUGUUAGCACUGUUUUAACUUAUUAUAAAAAAAAAAGUUAUGAUUUGAUCAUAACUCUAAUUUAGAAAAGAAAAAAGAGUUGAAUUGCUAACAUACUUAAAAAUAAAAUAAAAACAUUAUUAUUAGAUGAAAAAUUGUAAAACUUAAGGGGGCAUUUGCAAGUCCGCCACUACUCAAUAGAGCAUUAUUCAGUACUCGUUAAUAUAUCUCGAACUUUUAGGUUUUUUUAAUAUAUUUUUAAUACAUUUUCUAGAACAUUUAGAUAAAAAGAGUCAGUACUCCAAUUGAGUUGUGAAUAAACAUUUAGAUAAAAAGAGUCAAUACUCCAAUUGAGUUGUGAAUAAACUCAUGUUAAAAAAAAAAAAACUCAUUUUCACACUUGAAACGAUUAGUAAAUGGGUGAUACGAAUUUAACUUGGUCAAUAAUAUAUACCAUCUUAAGUUAACUUCAACUCAUUGAUCUUCUAUAGGGUUGAUCAGCCUGCCACAAGGCCCACAAAUUAUCACCUCUAAUGCUUUUGCAACAGUCGUUAUAAAUGCUGACAAAAUGAAACUUCUAUAUAUUUUGGUUUUUUUUUAUUUCUAUGAAAUAUAAGGCCCUUAUGGCAAAUUUCCAUCCAGCGUGAAAUUUGCUAGUUUGGCCUUGGUACUGUGGCACAUGCGUCAUGCAUGCGUGGCUGAGAUGCUUCUAAAACUAAUAAAUUAUGAAGAAUUCCAAAUUCGUACCAAAAAUAAGAGAAUAGGAGCUUGUCAUAGGUGUCCGCGGAUCGGAUUUUAUGGGUUAAACAUUAAUUCAUAUUUGAUUCGUGAUUUUGUAGAUUAUAAAUUUUUAAUUUAAUUCAAUUUAUGGAUUAGUGAAACUCAAUACAAAUUCAAUCCAUAUAUAUGCAAAUUAGAUGCGGAUUUAACCCAAUGCAUAUUCAAUCCAUCAUUUGGCGGAUUGAUUUGCAAAUUAAAAGUUUUUAAUUUUGUCCAAUCUAAAAAGUAAUUAAAUUAAAAAAAUCUAAUAUAUAAAUAAUUGAUUAAAUAAAAAAAUCUAAUGUAAAAAUAAUUUUACUACCAAUUAAAUUCAAAAUUGAACAAGAUUUAAAUAAAUUUAGAAUAAUACAUUCAAAAUUUUAAAAUAUAACACACCGAAAAAAAAAUUCAUUUAUUUAGAUCAAUACAUGAAAAUUAACUAAAAUUAUGAAUUUAAAUGUUGAAACUUGAAAGCUUGGAUGUAACAGGAAGAAUUUAAGAAACUUGAAGAGCUUGAAAAGAAAGUAAGAAAUUAAGUUUAAUUACCUCAAGUGGUGAAGUGAAACAGUGAUUGGCUUGUGCGUGCGGUGGGAUAGAGAUUUGGUGUUAUAUGUCAAAAUAUUUUGUUUGGCUUGGGGUUUUUGUUUUGCUUUAGAAAUUUUAAUGUUUAGGAAACUAUAUUUGCUUAUUUAAUUAUUUCUUAUUUUAUAUUGUUAUCGAAUAAAAUAUAAUAUUUUGUUAAUUUAGCUAUAAUUUUAUGCUGAAUAUAUUUAUUUAAAACGAUUUUAUUAAAUAAAUGUGCAUAUUUAACGAAGGUCUCUGAAAUUUCAACCUGCCUGCUAAUGAUAGCCAAUACGGCACGACCCACCAAAUGUCGGCCCACGCGGGCUUGUGGGCCAUGACGACUUUUUUUGUAAGGGCCCGGCACGGCCCACGGCACGAGUCCGUGCCCAAAAAAAGCCCACCUACCUUUUUUUUUUUUGUCCACAUGUUCAGCGUGCCUAAAAAAACCCACGUGCCUGACGUGCUUUUUUAAGCCCACCAGCCUAAUAGUAACAACAACAACAACAAUAAUAAUAAUUUCAUAGAAAUAAUUAAUGAAAAAUAAAAUAACAAUUCUAGAAUAACAAUUACAUCUAAUUUUAUUUGAACAACUAAUAUUAUAAUUGCACAUAAACUCUAUUGAAUGAAAAUGUAAUUUUUAAUUUAUUAUAAAAAUAUUUUGUUCAUAAUUUUAUUUUUUUGUGCGUAAAUAUGAAAAAUAUUUCAUUCACAAAUGAAACAUAUCUCCAUUAACUAUUAACUAAGUUAUGAUUUCAUAAAUGAAAUAUUAAUGUCGUAAAAUUUUUUAUUUAUCAUUUAUAAAAUCAUGAUAUUUAUUUAUCCAUUUAAUAAAUUAUAAACAUAAAAAAAUUAGAAUACUUAUUUAAACUAGGACUUAAAUUAAUUUUAAAAAGCCUAUACUAAAAAAAUAUAUUAAAAUUUUUAAUUUCAAGGUAUUUAUAAAAUCAUGAUAUUUUAUAUUUAUUUUUCAUUAAAAAAUUUUAUUUUGAUAUACUUUGGCCCACGUGCUAUUGGUGGCCCACGGGCCGCGUGCUUAGCCCACCAAUAAAGUGUGCUUAUUACAUGCCUUUUCGCGUGCCGUGUUUUGCCCCAUCUCUAAUCAUACCGUGCUUUUAAGGCCUGCGUGCCUAAAAUUCUAGGCCCGCCAGCCGUGCCGUGCCGUGCCGUGCCUCGUGCCGCCUGGCCCAUUGGCCAUCCCUACUGCCCGCCAACCACAUUUGUCCAAGAUCAAUUUGUAGGAAAAAAAUUUGAAAAUCAAUAAUUUAUUUAAUUAAUUGUUAAUGUAGGCAUUUGAAUCCCCACAAAAUCUGGGUGUCAGUUCUAGACUUCUGGUGAUAUAUUUUUCUAAUUAAGGAAUAAAAUAUUUUUGUCAUUUUUUUAAUAUUUUAAUUUACCAGGCAUAUCAACUAAUUAAUUUUUCUACUUAGACUAUUAAUUCAUUACGUGCGCAAUCUGUAGCCCGGCGCUCCAAUCCCAUGCAUGUUACACACAACUCAAUCAUUAUUUAUUUAUUUAUUUAUUUUGACCAACAACUCAAUGUUUUUUAUAGAGCUGUCAAAAUUUGACACGACCCGAUUACCCGACACGAACACGACAUAAAUAAAUGGGUAUGGGUCGUCAAAUUUAACACGAUUAUUAAAUGGGUCGGGUCCGGGUCAACACGAUUUUUUUCCGUGUCGGGUUUUGGGUUAAAAUUCUUGACCCAUUUACCCGAUCAAUGACCCGAUUAUAUUUUCUAUUUUAAAAUAAUUUACAUAUUCUUAUAAUUAAAACUCAAAUAUUAGAGAUGAUUUUCUUUUUUUUUAUUCUUUAAAAGGGUGAUAUAUUUUAUAAUAUCGAUAAAUUAUGUAUGUAUGUAUUUAUGUACAUACGUAUGUAUGAUAGUGUGGAAAUAUUUUAUGUAACUUUUGUUCAAUAUAUAGAUAUUAAACGGGUUAUUGGGUAACCCGAUUAUUUUUCCGUGUCGGGUUUGGGUCUCAAUAUUUUGACACGAUUAUUAAAUGGGUCGGGUUUGGGUCGACCUAAAUUUGACACGACACGAAACUGACACGACAUGAACACGACCCGAUGACCCGUUUUGCCAGCUCUAGUUUUUUAAUAUGAAAAGGUAUUGGUUAGCUUUGUCUUUAGUUUUUUCAACUUAUAAUAAGUUUGUAUUAAGGCUCCCUUUGGUACAGAUUUUCAAGUAAAACUUAUUUAGGGUUAUUUUUAGGGACCUCCCCUGAGGUUUGGUGUAUUAACAAUCUGAUAGAAAGUAUUCACGUAAUUACAAAGACCUCCCCUGACAUUUGUAUUAUGUUAAGUGGACUGUUAUUGACUAUUGAAAAUCCAAAAAUACCCUUCCUGCCAAAAUAUUUCUUUAUUCACUGAUGAACUGAUGGGUAAUUCGUGCCAAAAUCACAAAUUACUUAAGAAGAUGAAAAUAUCCAUUGGAUAAAAAAAAUGAAAUUGCUUAAUAAAAAAAUUGACAUUGCAUAAUAAUAAAAAAAAUUGAAAUAAUGUGCGGCGGCAUAGCUGCAUCUUGCAUGCAUAUUAUUAUUGUGAUUUUUUUAUUACAAACUCCAUCCUGCAUGCUUAUUAUUAUUGUGAUUUUUUUUAUUACAAACUACUUCAUAACUAAUACAUGCCACAAGAGCAGAGCUAUUAAAAGAAAUGAUUUUCAUAUUGUAAACUUGAUAGUACAGGUGUUGGCACCGACCAUAAAACCCUUAUGAUACCAAUCUUUGCUCCAUCCAUAUUUAAAUCCAGAUCAAGUAAAUAUUAAAUUGGAUUUCAGGUCCUGAAAAUCCCACUCUAUAAUUGAUAUCUUCGAGUUUUGUUGGUGCCUCAAACCUGGAUCUAGAGCAUCAUCUCUGUCAUACUCGGAACACCUAAACUAAUGGACUUGCUGCAGCUGCUUAUUCUUCUUCUGAAAUGAUGCACGCAGAUAGAUUACAGACUUUGAAAUAAGAAAUACAAUAAACAACAUGUAAUCGAACUUAAGAUUUCGGCAAACUUGUUUGAAAAUUAGAAUCAAACAAGGAAAAUGGCAAGUCAAUAUUUUUUAAUCUAGAAAAAGGGCAAUUUCAAAGUUUAUCACAUGCCAAAUUCAUAGUCUUGCAUCCACUAUUUUCUAGUUUGAAUAACAAACAAAAGCCUUAGACAAAAACACAGAGAACAUCUCACAUGGGAGCAAAAAUUGUGUGUAGAACAAUAUACUUAAGUUACAUGUGAUUACAAUCACAUUAUUUAGCAAAUACAAAAUUACCUUCUCAAAAAAAAAAAAAAAAAAAAAAACACCACCAAAUUAUUGAAGGUAUUACAACAAUAAGGCAAAAGAACACCAAAGGCAUGCACAAACCGAAACUAACACACAACUCAAUUAGUGUCAUGACCCCAAACUGAACAAUCAUAUAAACCAUUGUGGGCUCUCUAAAAGAUUAUCACAUUAUAAGCAAACAGAAACCUAUAUUUGAUGAACUACAUCUAGUACUUACACAACUCUUAAAUCAUUAGGAAAUUGCUCUUAUCAGUCAUUACCCAAUAGUUUUUUUCAACUCAACACUAACAACCCCAAAGAGAAACAACAUCCAGCACCAUUUUCAUUAAUUAAAACAGACCCAUUGUUAUUUUUAAUCAAUAAAAUAACAACAAUAUCGUGUAAGCCACUGAUUCAAGCAUUCAAGCUGUGUUUUCGAAGACUGACCUCUUCUUGCUAUCUAAUUCCAGUCACGAUAGACGCUAGAUGCCGGCAAUACUCGCUUCUUGGAAGCUCUGGACCACCGCACGACGUCAUCUUGUGCAGUAGAUGAAAAUAAAUCAAUGAUUUCAGAAAUUAUUUGUGAGUUGCAGACGCUUCUUCUCCAUGGAUGAAAAUGAUGGUGGGUUUUGUUCAAGUGUAAGCUGUGUUUACGAGGAGAAGUACACUUUGUGAAAAAAUCAUUUUCUUUCAUCUACUGGAUAAUGACUUUGGACUGGGUAAUGGUGUGUUUAAGUCUCUAUUUCACGGACAUUGAAGCAUAUUUUGCUUGAAUUUUGAUUUUGUUUAAAUUUCAAGUUUACUUUUACUUGUUUACCCUUUUAUACUGACGCUUAUGUAUUUUUAUACUAACGUUAAGGGAGGUCUUUGUAAUUAUAUGAAUACUUUCUAUCAGACUGUUAAUACAACAAACCUCAGGGGAGGUCCCUAAAAAUAACCCAACUUAUUUAAAUAGAACUUUUACAAAAAAAAAUUUAGUUAUUUGGUUGUCAAUAAACUUUUCAAGUAUACUUUGUUUGGUACAGCUUUUCAAGUAAAACUUAUUUAAGUAGAGCUUUUACAAAAAAAAAAAAAUUAGUUGUUUGGUUGUCAAUAAAAAUUUUUAUUAAAAAAAAUAUGAAAUUACUUUAUUAGUCAAGUUUUUUUAAAGUUAUGCUAUGAAAAGAAUAAAAUAAGAUUGUCAAAUAAAUAGAAAAUAUUUUAAAUAUUUUAACAUUUAAAAAAACUUUUUAACCUUUAUUUUCAAAAAUCUAAAAUUUAAACUUUUACUAGUAAAGGCAAAAUAAUUUAUUUAAACUUCAAAAGCUUUAUUAGAAAAAUAAUCAAACAAUAACAAAAAUUAUUAUAAAAGCUUAUCGAAUUAAAUAAGUACUUAUAGUUAUUAAAGAAGUUAUAUCUAACAGACACUAAUGCCGAAAGCCCCUUCUAAUUGUGGGUGUAAAAGUUUGAAUUAUGCAUACGGUUAAGGAGUUAAGGUGUGUUUGGCAACUGCAUUAAGUGGAAAUUUUUAUUUUGUUUCGAAUAAAAAUACAGCAAGCUCGUGUUCGGCUCAAAAUAAUGGAACGUUUAAUUUGCAACCGUCGGCGGACGAAGCACACCGUUCACGGCCCUUCGUAUAAAAUUGCAUAUGUAAACGUAAAUAGGUCCGGAUUCAGAUUCGUUGCUGUAGAGAGUGGCACGCACGAUCGGGCUGCUGUCGGUGGUAGGUUGGCAUUGGAAUUCUCAUCACGCGCUUCCCCAGGCGCCUACUUAUGGCAAAUUGACACGUGACGCGUGUGGAUUGAAUGGACAGAGUCCCGGGCAGUGUGUCCAAAGCUGCCAACCGUGCUCUGAUUUUUGUCAUCCAUAAUGGCUAACGACUAACGAGGGAGAUUUCCGGGCAGAAAGAAAUUGUUGUCGUUUCUGAAGGGGAAAAAAAAGUUAUUUAAUUUGUUGUUGAAGACAAAAUGAAGAUCUAAAUAAAUAAUGGCUAAUUUUGAGUGUAAAGCAACGGUAAAUGCAUUAUUAAAUUAGAUUUAGGGUCUGAUUGAGAUUAUUUUUAGAUUUAAAAUUAAUUUUGAAAAGUUAAAAUUAAUUUUGAUGUUUAUUAAUUUUUAUUAAAAAUUAUUUUUGUCAAAAUCUCUCAUCCUCCAGCAUAUUAUAAAAAAUAAGGAAGAAAUAAUUUUUUAAAAUUUAAUUUUAAGAAUCAGUUUUAUACUUAAUAUAAUCCACAUAUAUCCUCGUAAAUAUUAUAAAAAUUUAAAAUUAUUCUUAUUUAUUUAGGAUAUAAAAUUAUUAAAUUCAAACAUAUUAUUAUUAUUAUUAUUAUUGUUAUUAUUAUUAUUAUUAUUAUAAAUUCACACACGCACACACAUACUUAUAAAUUUAUAAAUAAACUUUAUUUAACAUUUUGUUCACUUAAAUCAUUUAUAUUCUUAUAGCAGUUUAACAUUAUGAUUUACCAAACACAGAUAAUUAUUUUUAAAAUCCAUAAUAUUUUUUAAAAUAAAUUUUAAUAAAUGUUUAACUUAUUAUUCUGACAACUGAUUUUUUUUGUAAGGUAUAACCAUUAAUAAUAAAUAUUUUAAAAGUUACAGUAUCCCCAAAUUGGCCCUUACUAAUACUCUGCGUUGCCAACUAAAUACUAAUUGUAACAUUAAACAUCUGGAAUAUUUUUCUCUAACGAAACAACACAAUUAAUUUCCCUCUAAAAAAGAAAAAGAAAAAGAAAAAAUAAACUACCAACCCCACCCCUUUAGACAGCAGAGUUUUAGCUGAGGCGGCUUGCUUGCAUAAGCAUUAAGGCUGCUCUUCACCAACCAUUGAACAUUCUUUCCAUUUGAUUGUUACACUUUACUUCGCCAUCUCAUGUCCAUGUACAUUGUUUUGAAAUGAAGACUUUGCGUACAACUAAUCUUUUUCAAUUCAUAAUAAAAACUCUUUUAAUUAGUUAAUAGCUAUAGCUUCCAAUUGAGACUAUAUAUAAAAAUCCAUAUUGACUGACCAAACCAAUAAUUUUUAAUUGGCUUGAGCAUUGUCUUACUUACUUCAAAAUCGUCACUCUCUUUGAAAAGAACAUGAGAGAGUUCACCUCCAUCUCAACCCUUAACCCUAUAUCUCAGUCAAGAGAUUAUUCAUGGAAAAUUCAGAAAAAAGAAAUGUUGCAAUAUUUACGAAACUCACGUCACGUGAGGUAAGAUAAAUUAUUCCUUUCUGCUUUAAUUCAUGUACAUAAUCAUGAGAAUAACUUUAAUUAUAGUUUAUUUCUCCGUUUUAAGAUUUUUCCUUUUUUUUUUUUAAUUAAUUAAUUAUAGUUCAUUCAUUAAUCCCAUAAGAAAUUAACACCUUUGCCGGUAAAGUCACACAUACAACAAUAUUUUAGAACAAAAGGGAAGAUCAUGCACGAUCAUGAUGUUUUAUUAUAUCUCUAGCAAUAUAAUUAUCUUAUAAUUAAUUAAAAACAAAACAGGUAAUUAAGCCAAAGUGGAUGGCAUGCAUCAAUCAUCAUGCAGAACACCUCCCCUUGUUUUAAAUAUAAAUAAAAGAAAUUUGUGCCCAGAAGACUUAAUUAAUACUUCUCGUUUCUGAAGUGCUCACAUGAUAUAUAGUCGGACGCAUUAUAUUUAAUUUCAUGAAUUAAUCGUACGGUUGUAUUUUGAGAGAGAGAGAGAGAGAGAGAGUGACUGAGUAAGAUAUGGCUUAAUUUAACCAAAUCUACGUAUAAAAUUUUAAAAUGAAUUUUUGAGUUUUAACUUAGGAAUUGUCUAUGAAUAAAAGUGUUAAUCAAAUAUUUCGUGUAAAAACAGUCAGCUGUAACAUUUUCGGUUGCUUUAACAAAACUGUAUAUUUCUGUAAUUUCCUAUAUGGGCCAAAAGGAACAUUUUUCUCAGAAAUUAAAAACUUAUGGUGAAAAAGAUAAGAAAACCAACAGGUUCAAAGGUGCGAGUAAACUGGGCUCUGGUGCGCCCAACUCCCUCUUUUGAUUUUGAGACUCUAUUGACCAUUGAGUUUGAGGCCCCAACGGCCCAGUUUAAAACUGUUAUGAAAAGAAAAAAAAUAUAACUAUAAAAUUAAAAUUAAUAAUGUUUGAUAAAUAUAAUUUUUAAAUAAUAAUUUGACAAAAAUAAUAUAGGGUCUUGUGUAUAUUUUUAUUUGGCAUUUCAAUUAAUCUGCUUAUAUAUAUAUAUAUAUAAGUUAAUCUAUAUUUCUUGCAAGAAGAUAGUAUUUCUUUAAUUAAAGUCAUAACUAAUAUAUAAAUUAUCAACUAACCAUCAAACAUUUAUCUCAUUUUAUCUCCACCACGAUCAUCACCAUUCAUCCUGUCACGAUCUUUAUGUAACUACAAUUAUUUUUUCUUUAAUAAUGUCAACCCACCAACCCCAUAACAAUAUCUCCAAACAUCUCAUCUCAAAAUUCCUAAUAACAUAAGUGUUUAUGUAUGAAAGAAAAUGUGAAAUAUAUAAUCAAAAAGUAGUUUAAUAAUAUAAUGUUUAAAAAUUAUGGUAAAAAUAAGUGAGAGUUUGGCAUGGCAAGUUAAUAAAAAGAUAAAAGCUCGGACACUUGAUGCAUCAAAGUAGCAAUGUCUGUCCAUCAUUAUCAUCAUGCGGGUUUAGGUGCUUCUCAUGAUAGCAUUAGCUGGUAAGACCAUCAUGCAUCGUACUUUCAUUGUUAUACAUUUUGAAGGUAAGAAUGGUUAUGUUACGUCCCUCCGAUUAGGUGUAUUUUUCUUCUUCUUCUUCUUCUUUUUCUUCUUCUUGUACGUAAUAAUUUCUCUUUCUUCCAUGAAGAUUUCUUUCUCUCUUUCUUUUUUUUUUUUUUAUUAUAAAUAAAAUGAUAAGAACUAAUUUCCUUACUAAUUGGUAGGGUCGUUUAAUGGUUCAGAUCCAUUAGAUUUUGUCAAAUUCAAGUCCAAUCCAUCAUAUAUUCCAUUUUAUAUUCCGGAUCCGAUCACUAAUAGAAAUCCAUUAUAAUUUAAAACAAUAAAACGUCGAAUCCAAUUUAAUUCGAUAUGAUCAAUCCAAUUAAAAUAAAAAUUUACAAAUAAAAAUCAUUAGUUGCUCUCUCCAGUUAUAAUUCUUAACAAUUAAAAAAAAUACAAAAUAUCAACUCCUUUAAUAUUUCAUGAUUCAUGUACUUUAUUAUCAUAUGGUUGGAAAAAAAAGUUGAAAUUUGAAUAUUAAAAGCAAAUGUUGGUUGCGACCUGCUGUUUGUAUUCUAUAUUGUUAUAGUAUAUUUAUAGUUAUUUUUUUAGCAAGUUAAAUAUAAAAGUGACAUAUAGUUUUUUUUUAUAAAAAAAAAUAAAUAAAGAAAAUAAAAAAUUAAUUGGUUGGAUUGGUUUAUAUUGGAUUUGAACAUAUAGAUCCAUAGACCAAUCUAAUAACAUUAUAUUUUUUAUUUUGCAAUCUUAUCCAAUCCAAUCAAAAUGUCAAUAUGACAAAAGUUGGAUUGGUUUUGAUCAGAUCGAUUGGUUUGAUUGGAUUGAAUUGAAUUAGAUCUUGAACAUCCUACCAAUUAGACUUUCCGUGAUUUUUUUUUUUCCAAAUUUAAUAAAGAGACUUCCCAUGAAUGUUAAAUGCAGUUUUAUUGAUGAAUUCUGCAAUUUUAAGAAAUGUUUGAUACACGAAUAAUGCAUCUCAUCAACCAAGUAACUGCGUCCCCUGCAGCAGCCGCGGCUUCAACUGGAAUACUGCAGCCACACCGGUCUUGAGACUCAACAUUCGGCCGAAACUCAAGCAAAAGUUGAACAAUAUCAGGCCUGCUUUGAGCUAUAGCAAUAUGAAGCAAUGUUUGUCCCUGCGCACCAGCAGAAUCAGCUGGGUGGGUUCCAAGCAGGGUCACUCUGUUCAAGAACCUCUCUUAUCUCAUCCAUUUCACCAUCCUUAACUAGCUGAACCACAACAUGGGACCCAACAAACAUGAUCUUGAUUCCUAUUGAUGAACGCUGGCUUCUUCCUUCUUGUGAACCAGUCACCAGGAACCGAAUCAAGCAUCAAUGUUGCAUCUUUAAUUGCAGCUGCAGGAACGACAACGCUAUGCAAGAGGAAGGAAUCAUCACAGUGAGGGAAAGUAUGAAGGAGAACUGAUCCUGGAGGAAGAUGAUACGCAAUCUCUAUGCUUACUGUUCCGAGUGGUUGCAUUGACCUGAAUAGUUCGAUCUAUUUCUCGUGUAUCUACUUGCGCUGCACUUUCACUCGAAGAACCUACAAAAUUAUUCAUAACCCGGCAUAAAAAAGACGUAAAGUUUUCAGCGCGAGCAUGGUAACUUCAAAACCCGUUUCAUACCUAUCAUAUUUCAUUCGUCCCGCACCCUCAUUUAAAAGACUAGAGCUUAUAAAAACUAGAAGUACCUUACCCAGAACAUAAAAGCAGACAAAACCCAGUCGAGUAUAAAUAUAACGUUGAAUAACACCUACCAUUUACCAUUUCAUUCAAGAACACCACACAAUUAACGAAACCAACAUCGGUAUGUUUUCAGCCGUUGUACUUUCAACUUAAUUUUGAAAGCGCGGCAGCUAAAGCCUAAACUGUUGUUUGAUAAAAGUCCACCCACUGACUGCUACCUGGCGGCUACCGAUUCCAUUCAAUAGCAGUCAUAAAAUAAAAAGUACAAAACAAACCUAUGUACAAAAAAGGCAAUGAAGCAGCCAUGGAUUCAGUUAUUUGCAUGUUUGGGAUUGUGGUUGAUUCCAAAUUGAGAAUAUACUGCGAAAUUAUGUUUGAUAAGCAUUUAUCUGAUGAUUGCUACUUUAUUGAGUGCCUGUUUGGUAUGGCUUAUUUAAAAGCCAUAAGUGCUUAUUUAAUCGUAUAAGCACUUUUUUAAAAUUUUUAUGGUGUUUGGUUAUUUUUUUAGUAGAGUUUUUUUAGCUUAAAUAAGCUAAUUUACCUCUACUAGCAAAAGCCCAAAAUUUGAGCUUUUGGGAGUAGAGGUUAAAGAGCUUAUCUAAAAAAUAUAUAAUAAAAAAAAUAUCAUACAGUUUAAUGAUUCAAAAGUGUUUUUUUUAUUGACAACCAAACACCCAAUGACUUUUUGUCCAAAAACUCUAUUGGUAUAAGCUCUACUGCUAUAAGCUCUAUUGUUAUAAGCUCUAUUUAAUAAGCUGUACCAAACGGAGCCUAAAGCAUUCAUUUUUUUUUUUCGCGUUUGGCCUCUUCACUUUUUAAAAAAUUUUAUGGUGUUUGGUUAUUUUUUUAGUAGAGUUUUUUUAGCUUAAAUAAGCUAAUUUACCUCUACUAGCAAAAGCCCAAAAUUUGAGCUUUUGGGAGUAGAGGUUAAAGAGCUUAUCUAAAAAAUAUAUAAUAAAAAAAAUAUCAUACAGUUUAAUGAUUCAAAAGUGUUUUUUUUAUUGACAACCAAACACCCAAUGACUUUUUGUCCAAAAACUCUAUUGGUAUAAGCUCUAUUGUUAUAAGCUCUAUUUAAUAAGCUGUACCAAACGGAGCCUGAGUCUUCAAAGAAAAACUCAAUCAACUAAUGCUCGAUUUUUUUUUUUAAAUGACAAAUCAAAAAGUAUUUUGGAGUAGAUUCUCAAAAGAGUGAUUAUUUGAUAAUCCACCAUAAUCCCACUUAGUUAUCAGAAAUAAAUUAAAAUCCGACGAAUGUUACUUAAGCCAAACAGCAUUAUUUUAUUUUGACCACAAGGACCACAACCCUCAAGCUGUCAAGCAACCGUUACCGUUAACGACCAAUCUUUCACCUCUCCGAAUCUUUGCAAGUCACUAUCAAGCAACCGUUACUAAUAUUUAAUCAAUUAUUAGGAUUAUUGGAUUUCUCAAAUACCUUAUGUACUUUGGUUCACUUUCUACUAAAAUAAAUAUUACAGGAGCUUUCAAAGUCUAGGCUAAGGUUGUUGUAAACAUAGAGAGAUUCAGAGAUAUAACAGCUUGUAAUUACAUACCACAAAGCAUAACUUUGUUCGAAUGAUAAUGAUCAUAAUCCAGAUUAUAGACGUAGAGAGAGGAGAAGUCGUACUUGAGGGGCAAAACGCGGCGUUUUGGCUCGUGGAUGAGGUGCUGCUCCUGAUCGUCGUAGAUUGAAGGGAGGAGAGGUCGGUCGAGGAAGUUUAGGAGACGGUGGAGGCUGAAUUGGUGAAUUUCGAUGAAGACUGACGAAUCCAAUGGGGCUUGAGGGUUUGAUUUGCAAAGAUGAAAGAUAAGAGCAUUGUUUUGGUUUCUGUGCAAAAAAAAAAAAAAAAAACAUGACAAGCGUUGUUUUGGUUUUGGUUCUAAAAAGAUGAAAAUUUGACUGCAAUGGAUCCAUACGCAGUCGGUGUCAAAUAAGAGGAGAAACAAAUAUGUUAAUCACUCGCUCAAUCACUCAUGCGAAGUGCCUUUUUUUUCGUUGCUUUGGCUUCUGAGAAAUAUAUGCAUCAGAUAUUACAACUCUCGAGGAUAAUGCAUUUUGUUCCGGUUUUGACUGAUAUUUAGUGGCAUUUGAUAAACUGAUACCUCAGAACCUGGUAGAGAGUUUAUUAAAUACAAAGAGAACAAAAAUAUAUGACUAUAUAAGCUUUUACACGGUUGAAGAUCCGGUCAAAUUGGCUUUAGUUAGCAAGAUCAUUUAAAACUUUCAAAAAACGAAUGGUAUCAAAAAGCUCUGAGAAAAAGCGGAAAAAAGGCACCACAAAGAUCUUGCAAUUAUUAUCACAGCUUGAUAAGACAUGGAAAUGUAUCUUACAAAUUGGCCUUCCAAGCAUCAAAGAAUUGGGUGGCGACAACUCCCAUUCCUAGCUGCUACCGUGGCCAGUCCCUUCUAACUAAAAUGGGACAGGACCAAAAGCAAGGUCUCUCCCACUCUCCUUAUGUAUAUAAAAUUCCCUACAUUCGAAUAAAACUACAGAAAAAGAUUUGCACAUCAUCUUCUUUCACCUUAUUUUGCAAUCUUCAAGAGUUUGGAAGAUUUCAAAGCACUUGUUAGAAUGUAGCACUCCAUUAAGCAUUCUCACCUUCCCCACACCCCAAUGGACCUCCUUAAUCCUAUCGGCAGACCUACAAAUUCUGCUGCAACUCCAAUCAAAUAAAGCAACACAAUUGUUGCCUGCCUAAGCCUUCCACUCACAGCCUGCAAUGACAAGUUCAUGAUACAAAAUCAGAAACAUUAAUAAACAAAAAGAUAUUACCAUUACUUGCAGAGGGGGAUUUGUUGCAAUUAGUAAAUGCCAUACUUAUCACUUUCAUUGCAGAUAUCAUCAUCAUCAUAAUACUAGCAAUCCAGCACUAAUAGUCAGAAUAAUAAUAAUAGUAGCAUGAAUAAAGAAUUUCUGCAGAGUAAGCUCUAAAGAUGCCGAAAGUGUCAUCUAUUAUGUUAAUAAUAAAAAAGUCUAUCAAGAAUUCAAGGAAAGAAAACUCAUUAACAAAGAACUAAACUUUUUAAUAAUGUUUAAUAAACUACGUACCUAUGAUUUUCUAUUAUUAACAUAAAUGACACUACGUACAACUGAUUUUCGCUUUCUAAUGUUUCAAAUCAUACCGAGAAAUAUAACAAUUACCAAGUCAGUAAGUAGCACAAUUACUUAAUAAGACUUUGACUUGUCUAACCCAAAAUUGUACCCAAUUCUAUACUCUACCAUGAAAAGCUUAUGAAGCCGAACUUACUUUGACCAAACAGUACUAUUAGCUCAGUUAAAGGAAACCACAAUUGAACAAAGUUCAGCUGAAAUAACUGAACUAAAAAAACUUGAUAAAAUUAAAAGUAACUUAUAACAGUUUAGUAAAGAAGCAUACAAAACAUGAAGAUAAAUAAACAUAGGUCUAUUUUCUUGACACUACCAGGUCCUUUCCUUUUUUUUUUUUCAGAUAAGAUCUCGAUACUACCAAGUUUUGGAUUCAAAAUCACCAUAUUACAAUAAUAGUUGUGAUUCAUGGGAUACAAUAUGUAGCAGCUUAUAUGUCGGCAAUUAUAGUCAAAGAUGGUUGUCAAACAUCAUCGCAAAUCAAGAAGCUAAUAAAGACCAUGUCACACUACAUUAACAUAUAUCAGUUCUUUGAUACAAAGAUAUUGAAUGUUAUACAUUUCUAAUCCCAAGUCCUGAAAUACAAAACAAAAGUUCACUUCACACAGUCAUAAAGCUAGACUGCUAGAUAAAUGGACAAUAGGCAUUGGAUAUGGGUCAAUAAACUAUUAAGCUAAUUAAUGCACACGAAGGAAUCCGUUAGAGCUAGUAAAAUAGCCCUUACCAGAGAACUCGCAGAAGCAUUCAAUUUCCUCAAAGGAGAUAACUUACAACAUAAACAUUUUGAUAAGCAGCAACACACAUAAAAUAGCUUCACUCACUAGCAACAGAGCAACUUCUUCAACACAUUAAUAAAUCCAUUUUCAUUUUUAAACAACAAAAUAAUGCCCAGUUUCUCCAGCACAAAUAGGGUAAGCAGUAAUAGAAAAACAUGAUACAUAGGAAUUACCGGCCUCAAGAAAUCUCCAAGCUUUCUGUCCUCUGCUUCAAUUGCUCAAUCAAGAAUGCCCCAGACGUUGCGCUAGCGUGGUGGUGGAGCGUCGCGAAGCGUGUGGCGGCGGUGUCGGCGAAGGCAGGUCAUGAAGAUAGUUGGUGUCGCGCAGCGAAGGCAGUGCAGCUGGUGUCAUGCGGCGAAGGCAAAUCGCGUGGUGGUGGAGUUGGGGUCGCGCGGCAGUGGCGGUGCGGUGCUGAGGCAUAAUAGUGGCGGUGGCGUUGUGCGACAGUGGCAGUGUGGAGGCAGAUUGCGUGGAGCUGGCGGUGUUGAGGCAGAUCGCGUGGAGGCAGAUGCCGCGGUGGUGGAGUUGCUGUCGCGAUCAACGCCUGUGAAAGGGAAUGAAAGUGAAGGAGAUACCUACAAAAGAAAGAACGAGUGAAAUUUUUUUUUUUGUUCAAGGGUUUCAAACCCACAUAAACCCGACUCUCACACGGGUUCAGUAAGUUUAUGCGGGUUUGACUGCAUUACAAAUUGGUAUGACCACAACAACAGUACAAUGAUUGGUAAUUACCAAACAUGCUAUUUAUGUUGGUAUUAAAUUAAUUUAAUACAAUGAGGAGUGGUAAUAUCAUACAAUGAGGACUGUUAAAUAUGGUGUGUUUAAUAUGUUGUAUUGUAUUAUAUUAUUUUAAUACAAAUAUAUUAUAUUAUCUUGUAUUAUAAUAUAAAAUAAUGAAAAAUAUCGAAUUUCAAUAUAUAAAAAAAAAAUAAAUAUAUUUUGUUAUAUUCGAUCUGCUGUACGGCCAAGGCGGAUGUACGGUACAGCAGAUAAGAAUUUAAAUACAUACACUUAUAAUACAACUUAGUUUUUCCACAUUGUCGAGGGAUCAAAACAACCCAUCAUUGGAGUCCAAUAAGUUAUGUGGCGACACAAAAAAGUAAUUCUAUAUUUUUUACGUCAUAAAUAUGUAAAAAAAAUUGUAUUAUAUCUUAUUAUUAUUAGUUUUUUUUCUUCAGUUUUGACAAGUAUAGUUUUCUUGUUGAGUGGCUCAACAAGGCUGGUUACAAUUUCGAAAUAAUGUUCCAUCUGUAUCUGUUUUCCUUUUGUUUUUGAUUUUGUAGUAUAGUUAAUUUGUACGAAUUUGUUGCCUGGUUGGUUUUUAUGCUGAAAAGUCAGUUCAUUGGAAAUGACAGAAAAUUGUUUUUCUUUUUCAUUUUUACAGAAAGAGAUUUGCAACGUUAUAAAAGUAAGAGAUCCUAAGAGAUCCCUGAAUCAUAUUAAAUAUUAAACUUAAGAUACAGUCAAGGCUUUUAUUAUGUUACUAAUCAUGUAACGAAUAUAAUUAUGUAGCAGUCGUUAAAUACAAAUUUAACAGUUAUAAAAAUAACAUGAUUUUAUUAUCUUAUAUUUCUAUAAUCGUUGAAUUUUUAUCUGCUGUACCGUACAUCCGCCUUGGCCGUACAGCAGUAUUGAAUUUUAAAAAUUUAAUAUUAUUUUUUUAAUAUAAAUAUUAAAAAAUAUCAUAAUUCUUCAUAGAAAUCGAAGUUCAUGGCAUUAAAUUUUUAACGCCGCAUACAUAAUAAAAAAUUUGAUUCUCUAGUGCCAAUAUAAUAGAAUACAUAAAAACGAGACUGAGAAACUACGAAUAAAGCUCAUCAUCAAGGACUCCACAACAUUAUAAGAAGUACUAUGUAACAUUUGCCAAAUUACAACACCACAUCAAGACAUAUCACAAUGUAAAAUUUUUCCUAGAGAUUUGGUAAUUGAAAAACACAAUUCAAGUUGAAAACUGAUAGUCGACUUGAAAAGUUUUAACAUAUCCCAUAAAAGAAAUGUGCCAUGCCAAAAAUCCUAACCCUUGGCUCUUUGACGAUAAGAAAAUAUUGAAAAUUCCAAAGUACAGUGCAAUGGGAGAAAGAAUGCCUAUAAAGCUAGUAAAGAUAUUCUUAAACUACUAUUGGGAUGUUGGGCUGGUUGGUAGCAAAACCCAAACCCUGCUGCUGAUUUCCGAUACCACCAUCUUGGAUAAGCCGCUCUCCCUCCUCUUCCUAACUCCUAAGCCCAAUAUCUUUCCAAAACCUUCACAACCCACUCAUAAAUCUCAUUGUUGUCGUGGAUAUGCAAAUUCUCAAUCUUUUCUACUCCAUCACACUCAUCAAUCAUUUGGGUAUAAACAUUAACCCAAUUAUCCAUUCCUAUUUCCUUGUUAACCUCACCCACCUUGAAAAUGUUCUCAAGACCCUAUAGACAAACUGUGACGAUCCUUUGGUCCAGACAAACCAGAAGAUCACAGAGCGGUUUGAUGCAACCUUGGCUCACCAGGAAUCUGCAGGACCAUGGUACCAUAAGUGAUUCUAUCACAUGAACAUCAUUAGAUUAAAAAAAGAAAAAAAAAAGAAACAUCUAUCGUAUGAACAUUGCUGAGUGAAUAAAAGAAACAUACUGAAUAUGUUCAUGAGAUCCUCCAUAUGUGGCAUUUAAGACAGGCCAUGCAGCCUCCUUGAUUUCAAGUUCUGCAUGUUGAAGAAGAGGUGCACAAAAGGAAGGAUAAGGAAGGAUGAUAUUGGCCUCCAUAACAGCCUGUUGAACAAAAAUUCGACAAAUUAUAAUUAUGAGUAUAUUUAAGUAGCAAUUUUGUCAGAAUUAACUAGACUUGACUAUUGAGGAAGUCACAUUCAAAAAUAGAAAAGACGAGCAAGCAAUUGUAUUCAUGCUAUCGGGACCAAAAUACUAUGAUGCAAGCAAGAAAGAAAAACAUACAUACAUAUAAAACACUAUCUUUGAGUUGGGUAUUUUCUUUCAAUUUUGAUAAUGGCAACUUUGGAUUCUUCUGCUGAAUUACCACCACCACCACACCAUUGUAGUUUCACAUACUAAGAAAAGGCAGGUUCAGCUCCCGUGCAUGCCCAUAAGAAUAUGAUGUAUUAAUUAGAAGUAAAAUUAAUCUGUUCAAUUAAGUUCUCUCAUAUAUUUGUGUGCGUGUGUGUGUUAAUUAGUUUGCUUUCAAAUCUUUUCUCCCUUCUUAAUGAUAUAUAUUUUAAGCAUGAUAUCAACCACGAUGAAUUUAUUAGCCGAUUUUUAAUUAUACAUUCAGCAUGAUAUCACAAACCAAGAGCUUAAGUUAGCCUAAUUCUUCAUAAAUCUAAUAAUUGCAAUCAAUAAUAAUGCUGAAAAUACGAGUUUGAAUUAAGCUAGCAACUGGUUCUUAAAUUAUGCAAUAUGUAAUCAUAGGUUUACUUAAAGAUUAAAGCAUUUCUGCAAUCCAUUGUGCAAAAAGAUUAAAAAAAAAAAAAAUAGUUGCCAAAUUUUAUCUAAAUAAAAAUUCCUUUAGUGGUUAGUACUUGUGAAUUAUAGAAAUUAUUAUUAGUACUUGCUCAGCGCUUUUUAGAUUUGUACAGGUAGAUUACGCCAUUUCAAACCCGACCAUCCAUUUAGACAUACAAAUCCCCCCAAUUCCCUGUCCUCCGCCUUUACGCGACUCUCCACUGUAUGUGCCAACUAAUUAAUUUUUUAAUUACUUGUUUAACUAAUUAAUUCAUUUUCUCAAAAGCAAGAUUAAUCUAUUUGUUCAAAUCUGAAGGAGAUUAAGUUAAUUGAUUUUAUUGUAUGUAAAAAUAUACAAAGAACUCAUGAAGCCAACUAGAAAAAAAAAAAAAGACAAAAAAAAAAUCAAACCCAGAAAUAAAAAGACAUGCUUCGACAGAAAAUUAAUGAAAAUUAUACUGAUUGUGGUUCAAUUUGAUCAAACCCAAAUAAUAACCGGUUUGAUUGAUGACUCAGCGGCAAAGUGCAGGCGCAUCAGUGGUUGCACAGAUGAGUGUUCUCGUGCGGCACGACAAAGCAAUUGUCGGCGAUUGUGAUUGGUGAUGACAUCGAGCGAUGGGGGUAAUGGCAUCGGUCGUGACUUUGUGAUGGAGAAACGAAUGUUAGAUUCGUUCGAAGAUUCGUGUUUUGAUUGAAUAACAAAGAGAGAUUUUAUGAGUUUUAAUUAUCUAAUACGAUACCGCAUAAACCCGACUCGUACGUGGGUUUAUUUUAUGCGGGUUUCGGUGUACUAAAGCAGUAAAUUUAUGUGGUGCAAUUCAAACUGAUUUCACCGCCAAAAGAUCGUGUAAAUUUAAUAUUAUACAGGGUUUUAAUACUAUGUAAUCCAAUACACCAAACAUGCCCUUAAAAACGGAUAGCAAUCCGGGGCCUUUAAAAACGGAAAAUACAAGCAGAGAAAAAGAAAAGCCAAUUGUUCAAAAGUGCCUAAUAUGCCCACGGAAAAUUUUCGUCACGACCCACAGUUACUCGAAUAGGUAAUAAGACAGGAAUGCCUUUGUUUGUUCGAAUAUAGAAGCACAAUGGCUCAGAAAGGAUCCCUCCAAUCUCCUUGGCACUGUCAGCUGGGUGCGGAGUAGCUUGGUGGCAGCAACCAUGUUUGAGAGGGCUGGCUUCACCUCAGUGUACUUGCGAGUCUUGAGACCACAGUCAGGGUUAACCCACAAAAUGUUGGUUUCUAGCACAGUACGCAUCUCGUAGAUUCUGUCAACAAUUUCUUCGGUUGAUGGUAUUCUUGGAGAGUGGAUGUCAUAGACGCCAGGGCCAAUUGCAGCAUCAUACUGGACUCCCUCACGGAAGACUGACAGGAGAUUCUCAUUAGAACGAGAGUUCUCAAUGGUGAUCACAUCAGCAUCCAUGUCGAUAAUUGAGUGGAUAAUGUCGUUGAAGUUGGAGUAGCACAUGUGGGUGUGGAUCUGUCAAUCAAUAAACAAUAGAAUGAGAUACAAAAUCAACAGCUAAAUUAAAGAGAUGAGAUUGGAGAUUAAAAGGGUAACUGACCUGGGUAGUGUCCUGGAUGCCACAGUUGGUGAUUCUGAAGGAGUGGACUGCCCAGUCCAAGUAGAAAGCAUGCUCAGAUUUCCUGAGAGGCAAUCCUUCCCUCAAGGCAGCCUCAUCAAUUUGAAUAACGUUAAUGCCUGCCUUCUCAAGAUCCUCGACUUCGUCCUUGAUGGCCAAAGCAAUCUGGUAGCAGGUUUCAUGUCUGCAAAAUUGGCAGCGAUUGAUGUUAAACAAUGUUUCCAUUCCAAAAGGUUAACCAAUAGUGAACCAGUUCUCAUUUAUAUACCUGGGCUGGUCAUUUCUGACAAAGGACCAGUUGAGAAUGGUGACAGGGCCAGUAAGCAUUCCCUUCAUUGGGCGAGCAGUCAUGCUCUGAGCCCAGGAGGACCAGAAGACGGUCAUAGCCUUGGGACGGCUCACAUCACCAUAGAUGAUGGGUGGCUUCACACAGCGAGAUCCAUAGGAUUGCACCCACCCAUUGGCAGUGAAGGCGAAACCUGAUAACUGCUCUCCAAAGUACUCAACCAUGUCGUUUCUCUACAAAAACAAAUGUCCGAAUUCAAUUUGAGAUCCAGCAUACUUCGUAUGCAAUUAGAAAUGCAGAAACAAAAAUGUAUAAAAUUUUAUGUAAUUCAAAACCAGGAGACAUUGCUUUGCUUCCAUUGGGCAUUGCGAGACUCACCUCAGGCUCUCCAUGGACAAGGACAUCAAUAUCAAGCUCUUCUUGGAGUUUGACAACCUUGUUGAUUUCCUCCUUGAUGGAAGCAACAUAUUCUUCCUCAGAAAUCCUAAAAAGGACAAAUAGUCACGGCACAGUUAAUACAGUAGUUGCAGUAAUUUCACACAUGGCAUUGAAUGAAGAAACACCUCAGAUUGACUCACUUCUUAGCCUUGUAUUCACGGCGGACUCUCCUAAGUUCAAUGGUUUGUGGGAAGGAUCCAAUUGUGGUGGUUGGGAGGAUUGGAAGAUUGAGCUUCUUCUGUUGAGCAUCUAAUCUAGCACUAACGUUUGUAGCACGUCUGUGGUCUGAUCCCCUCAAAGCAGCAGCCUAAUAGACCAAGAGGAAGGAAUCACUGUUAGCAAAAAAGGAAAUUCUAAGGGACAGCCACAUCAUAAAAAUGGAAAACAAAUCAAUCAUGCCACUUACAGCCUUUUGAACUGCCUCAUUGGUCACUCUCGGGGAGGACUUUCUUGAAGCCUGAGCUGCAGCAUUGGCAGAGAAGAAUCCCUGGAAACAAAUGAUAAGGAGAACCAAAGUUAGUCUCAUUCAUAUCAUUUUAAAAAGAAGAUACAUAUGCAAUUAGUGGGCUGAUUGUGAGAGAAAAAGUCCCCAAAACUUUAAUCAAACACCAAAUGCCCAAGUUGCCAAAUGAUGUUUAAUUCGGAAAAAUAUAUUUAAAAACAUUCAAAUAUAAUUUCCCCUUCUAAAUUUUCAUUUUCAACAACAUAUUUUACAAGCCAAGCUCAACGUCAGGCCAAGAUUUUGUGCUCCUAUAAUUAUAUUUUACCAUAAAACUAGGUCCUUGAAAGGCUAAGAUUUUCUGACUCUUGUGACUAGUCAAAGCCUAAGAUUCUUUCAAUUCAUCCGUAGUAAAAGUAUACCUCAUCCUUUUGGCCAGCCAAAGCCUUGGCCAAUGCAUUGACUUCAACAACUUUCUGGGCAGCAAAUGCCAGCCAUGACUUGAUUUCGUCGUCGAGUUUGUUCUCAUUAACAAGAUCAACAGCAGUGUGAAGAAGUGAGCAGGAGGUGGAGACCACAAGCUUGUCUGCAAAGAAAAGUAAUAAAUUAUACAACAAAUCCCAUAAUAGAAUAAGAAAUAUUUAUCACAAAGAAAAAUGCAAGCAAAGGAUGUAUACCUUUGCCAACAACACCCUCAAGCCCCCGGAGAACACUAAGAGAAGCAGCAAGAUCAUUGGCCCAAAUGUUCCUUCCAUCAACCACUCCAGCAAAGAGGUACUUGCCAGCAGGGAAUCCACUCUUGAUCAAUUCAAGGGUCUUGGUUCCACGAACCAAAUCAAAUCCAUAAGCGGUGACACCCUUCAAAGAAGUGAGGGUCUGGAAUGCCUCAGCUGGAACAUCAGCAAAGUAGGUCUCAACAAGAACAUUCAAGCCAGACAGAGUUGACUCUAGUUCCGCGUAAGCCUCACUGAAUGCUUGCAAUUUGUGUGAGUCAAGAUCCGUAACAAGCAAUGGCUCAUCAAACUGAAUCCAGGAAGCACCAGCAGCCUUAAGCUCAGAAACAACUUCCCUGCAGAAGUGUUAAUUGGUACGACACGGAUUAAUGAUGCCACACGAUACACACACACACACACACACACACACACACACACACACACACACACACACACACACACACACACACACACACACACACACACACACACACACACACACACACACACACACACACACACAGACAGAGUUAUUUAGCACAUACACGUUUAUAAAUCUGUAAAUAGGUGAUAAUUCUUACUUGUAGAUCGGAAGGAUUUUGGGAAGAAGAGAGAGAACAGAAAAGGUCUUCUCAACCCCCCAGGCAGGCUUAGACAGCAACAAGUAUGACACAGGGCCAAUAAGCACUGGGACAGUUUCAACUCCAUGCUGCAGCAUUAGACAAGUGGUAGAUAUUAGCAUCUCACAAACUUGAUCUGACUGAUAGAAAGUUACAAGCAAGUUAAGAAUAUGUUUGAUGAAAUUUCAAUGAAAAAUCUUCAGGGUCCACAACAUGUUGACUAUACCCUUUUUAAGUAAUUUAUCUUAAGACUAUUUUGCAAACAGUAUUGCUUCCCUUUACAGAUCAAAUAAAUCAUACAACAUCUGAACGCAUUUCCUGAGCCAAAUAUAAGUUCAAAGCUCUAUAAUAAAUGUCAAUGACUCUAUAGUAAAUUCCAUCACAUUCUGAGCUAUGGAUGAGCAUAUCAUAUGCCAAUUUCAAGUUGAACGUAACCCAAUUUCAACAUAUUGUAGAUUCAAGUAUCAAACGAAAAAAAAAAUAUUGUAAAUAUAGACAGAACUGAGAACAAACACUCACCCCCUUAGCCUCCUUGUACUCAGUCACAGCCUUGUGGGAAGCGUAGGAGAACUUAACAUCGGGUCCCAAUUCAGGAACAAUGAAAUGACUGCAUCAACACGAAGCCAAACACACGUCAGCAUUCAGUACAAAACCAUUACACCAUAACUAACUUGAAAUGCCGCUCUUCCAAGUAGUGAAUACUUACUAGUUGGUGUCGAACCACUUGGUCAUUUCCAUUGCGAGAACAGAGGCGUUUCCUCUGGCCAUGGAGAAGUAAACAUCGAAUCCAAUCUCGCCGCCGUUCCAGUUAAACCUCGGGGGCACGGCACCGAGCAUUGCGGUGGUGUCGAGCACUUGGUCGUAGUAGGAGAAAGUGUUGCUGGGAAUGUAUUUGAUCCCGGCCUCGGACAUCUGUUUCCAGAUGGAGGAUCUGAGAUCAGCGGACACCUUUUGCAAAUCCUCGGCGCUGCUCUUGCCAUCCCAGAAGGAUUCCAACGCGAACUUGAGCUCCCUCUUGGGGCCCAUGCGUGGGUAACCAACGAUGUGAGAUGCCAUUUUACUGUCAUAAUCACGUCAUCAAUGAAUCGAAAAUCAGUCCCUUCCAUUAAAUCAAGAAAUUAUUAAUUCAAAUGAAUGGAUCACAUUGUAUAUAUAUGGGAUAAAUAUAAUUAUGAACAAAAGCGUCUAAUCAAUCACAAAAAGCAAGCGACUGCAUCAAAUUUAGGGAUCCGACCCGACCCGACCCGAUCUGUAAAUUCCGGUUUCAAUCGGAUUAAGAUGAAACCUCUAACCCGAUAUAGUUGGAUUUUGGCCAACUCGAUCGGAUCAGAUCGGAUCGGAUUAAACUUAGUCCAAUCCGAAAAAUUCAAAAAAUCAAAACUACAAUAAGUAUAAAUCUAAAUUUUCAAUUCAAUUUGAUCUAAUCUGAAUAUAUUCGAAUCGGAUCAAAUACUAUGCUCUGCUUAAACUUGGAUUAUAUUUUUUUCAAUUUGAUUAACCUAAAAUUCGAUUGGAUAGAUCCAAAACUGAAUUUAUCUACCCCUCAGUCAUCAAUCAAUUACAAAACCUAAAAUCCGAUUGGAUAGAUCCGAAACUGAAUUUAUCCACCCUUAAGUCAUCAAUCAAUUACAAAGGCGACUGAUGUUUAUACAAUGGACAAUUAUUAAGUUACAGCUCUUGUAAUUUACAACUUAUACAAAAAUAUGUGAAAAAUUGUGAUAGGCAGUACAGUGUCAUGAUUUUAUACAAAAAUAUGUAAACAAUUGUGAUAGACGGUAGAACCUCAUGAUUUUAUAAAAAAUACGUAAAAAGUUGGGAUAAGUAAUGGAGCCCGCAUAAUUUUUUAUCAGCUGCAAGUUGCAAGUUACAGCAACUGUAACUUAGCGACCCCGACUUCAAUGUAAAAUGAGAAAGUACUCCUCCGCAUAGUACCUGAUGCUCAAAAGUCAAAUCACACGAAAUGCAAAUAGACUUAUCAGAGCAUAAAACCUUAUAUUACUUUUUGAAAAACGAUUUGAAACAAGGGCAAAAUUACAGUGUAACCGUACUUAGUCAUUGAAUUCAGCUCACAAUUAUCAUUAUAGUUAGAUCUAAUAACUAGAUCCAACUGUAUCCACAGUUAUAUUGUAGUUAGAUCUGAUAACUAAAUCCAGAUCCAGCUGUCCCCACAAUUGUCAUUAUAGUUAGAUCUAAUAAUUAGAUUCGGCUGAUUCAGCUGUGAUGUAGUACCCUGUAGUGCCAUAACUGGACAAAGAAACAAACUGAUAUAUUUUCUUUUUUGAAACAAACUGAUACUAAUCCAAGAGUUUCAGAUGAUCGGUUUUUUUUUUUUUUUCUAUAGUCACAUCAAUAAUUAAGUACUUUCAGUCAUUUUCGAAGGAUUAAAACGAAAACUCUAAAAAAAUUCUGAGAAUGAAGAAUCCGAAAAUAGAUUCAGAAAUAGUAACACAAGUAGAGGUCAGAUUGUUUUUUGGAAAAGAUUAAUUGCAGAUCUGAUGAACUCAAGUCUAGAUCUAGCAAAAUCACGGCAGCCAAACACUAGAUCUAAGACUAACAGUCACUCACCAGUCGAUCAGAAAGUGAAAUCAAGUUCAAAAUUCUUUUUUUUUAAUAGAUCCAAAAGCUAAUAUACAUAUAUAUAUGGCAAAAUAUAUAUACCGUACCCGAGAAGGACGAGCAGAGAAAUUAAGCUUUUUUCGAGAGAACGAGAAAGAAGAGAGACGAGACUGUUAGAAAUUGCUGUCAGUUUAAUUUUUAUUUAUAGCCAAAAACCUAACCUUGUUUAGUGGUUACUGGUUACCGUCUUCGGCGGUGUUGAUCUGAGAUUUAUCAUUUUAAUUUCUUUCUCUUACUUAUUUAUUUAAUUUGGGUCCAACUACGGUGAAACUGUAGUACCGUGCUACAGUUAUUUUCAACCGUUUGAUUCACUUGGAUGGUGGGAUCCAAUAAAAUCCAAUAACUGGGUGCAACCGUAGCACGGUGCCGCAGUUGCACCACAGUUUUUCCCAUUUAUUUAUUAUGCUUUCAGUGCAGUUGGCAAAAACAUGGAGCUUACGCGCGCUUUUCUGAUGUGGCGCGUGAAUUGGAAAUGUGGUAGAUCUUUGUGGAUCCGCCGGUGCAGUGAAGAGUGAAGGAAAAAAGAGAAAAGUUAUCAUGCCAGAUCAUUUGAAGAGAGCCGCAAUUAGUAAUUACACCACAAUAUAUUUCUGAUUAUUUGCUUACUUUGAUGAUGUUUUUACUGAUUAGUAAUUGGAAUAUGUUAGAAUCUAAAUAUAGUAGAAUCAUAAUAGAGUUGAAUCAAAAUAGACUAUAAUUAGAAUGGAUAAUGGGAAUUAGAAGAAUUAUUUGCUUUAGUUGUGAGAAUCCAAAUUGGAAUGAACUAUAUUGUCGUUGAUAUGUUUACUUUAUCAUAGAAUAUGAAUGAAUUAUUACAAGUUACUAAACAGACCUUAAGUUGAUUAUUGUCAUUAUUUAUUUAUUUAUUAUUAUUAUUAUUAUUAUCAUCAUCAUCAUCAUCAAAAUUAUUAAUCUUAUUAUUAAUGUUAAUUAUAAUAAUUAAUAAUUAUAAUAGUAUUAUAAUAAUAAUAAUAAUAAAAGCAAUCAUAAAAUGAGAAUUUCAAGAUUUAAGUAGAGAUAAUAUAAUUAUUUUAGAAAAUGAGAAUUUCCAUGAGAAUGUGAACUCUAUUAAUCAUUCCCAAUUUGAAGUGGGGCCUGCCAUUUUGAUUCAAUCUCUCAUUUAAGCAAGUAAAUACGACAUUUAUUCUCAUUCCCUCAUUCCCACUCUCAGGUAGCGUUUGUUUUUUAACUUAAUGACUUAAAGUGACUUAACUUAAUUAAUUAAGUUAAUUAGAGGUGUUUAUUUUUAUAACUUAAUGAGACUUUUUAGAUAAUUUUGACUUAAUAAAAUGAGCCAAUUUUUUUUGGCUUUUUACUUAAUGGAGAAAUUUGAAUUUAGUCAAUUACUUACUAAUGUCAAAAAUAUCUAUGUUUUAUAAUUUAUUUUUCAUGUCUAUCCCAAAACUCACCCAUAGACAUUUACCCCACAUAAAAAUAUCCCUAUUUUUUCUUUCUUAUAUUAUAUACGAUAAAAUUUGAAAUUUAUGGUAUUUUAUAUAUUAAAAUUCUAAAAUAAUUAUGUAUUCACUUGAAUAUAGUUUUACUUAUAACUGUUAAAAUAUUGUGGUAUUUAAUAUAUUAUUUAUUUGACAUUAAAAUUUAAUAAGGAUACAAAUGUAAAAGUACAUAUUUUCAGUUUUUUCAGUUAAAAAAAAAGCAACUUAAUACUUAUUUUUCGAGAUUCAGACGAAAAAAUAAACAUAUUAUUCAUAUUCAGACAUUUAGAUAUAUUCAGAAUUCAAACUAAUUCAGGUCUAUUCAGAUUUUAGACAAAAAAAACAAACGCCACCUCAAUCAAUAAACACACCAUAAAUGUAGAGUUGUUACUAUUAGAAUACAUUAUAAUUCAUCACAAUUAUGAUAGGUAUAUACGUGUGUAAUAAUUUAUAUAAGAUGCUAAAUUUUGAAAAUAAUAAAAAAUCAUUUAUACAUAUUUAAAAAAAUCAUUAAUACAUUAAAAUGUGCAUCACAUAUACAUUUACAUAAUAGCAAUGACCAUAGUAUAAAAAAAACUCCUAAAAGAGAACGACUUCGUUAUUUAUGUUAUUUUAUAUAUUUUUAAUUGAUUAUUAAAAGGAUCAAUUGUUAAUUAUUAUUCUCCAAACAUAAUCACCGUUAAACAUUUAUUCAAUUUAACAAUAGGUAGAUGUUAAAUAAUAUUGGAAUAUUUAAUGAACAAUAUAAUCACUAUUGCAGUUGUUUUUUUUUUUUAGUAAUGGAUUAUUCGAAACUCAAAUUCAUUUUUUAGCCCCCUUACCUCUCUUAAAAUUCAAAUUUAAGUGACUAAACAAAUAAAACUGCUUAAAAUCUAUACGACUACAUCUUUGGGGACCAAUUAAUAUGGAUGUUUAAAUCUUGAUUUAUUAUUAAAUCUUUGAGUUUCAACCACUAAUAACAUCAUCAUCGAUUAAUGACAAAUAAAAUAAUACAUCAUCAAAACCAUUAAACACGUCCAUCAAUAUCAAAAACAAGUAAAAAGUUUAGCAUGUAUUUCAAAUAUACUUUUCAUCCCAAAAGUUGUAGAGAAAGUCUCGAUAUCAAUGUCACUAUGAGACGUAAUUUUAUAUUUAAAGUCAGCGCAACUUAAAAAUUACUAUGAAUGAAUAAUACACCAUAAAAAAAUUAUUUAUAAGUAUUUUCAUCAUGUAUUUUUAUUUAACAAUGGUGACAUUUAUUUUUUAACUUAAUGACUUAAAGUGGCUUAACUUAAUUAAUUAAGUUAAUUUUAGGUGUUUGUUUUUAUAACUUAAUAGGACAUUUUAGAUAAUUUUGACUUAAUAAAAUAGGCCAAUUUUUUUUAACUUUUUACUUAAUAGAGAAAUUUGAAUUAAGUCAGUUACUUUCUAAUGUAAAAAAAUAUUCCUACUUUAUAAUUUAUUUUUCAUGCAUAUUCAAAAACUCACCCAUAGAUAUUUACCCCACAUAAUCUCAUCUUUAUUUUCUUCCAGCCGUCAUGGAAUCCCUCCUCACUUUGCUUCUCUCCUCUAGUUCUUGAAUCUCCCUUUAAUUUCUCGCUAGGCAAAGCACUUGAAUUGGGCUUUUUUUUUUUCCUUUUCAAUUACGUUUUCCAACAUUCACUUAUAUAAUAAUCAACUAGUUGCUACUCUUUUUAGUGAUAAAAUUUGAAAUAUGGUAUUUUAUAUAUUAAAUUUUCAAAAUUAUGUAUUCACUUAAAUGUAGUUUUACUUAUAAAUAUUAAAAUAUUAUGUUAUUUAAUAUAUUAUUUAUUUGACAUUCAAAUUUAAUAAGGAUAUAAAUGUAAAAGUACAUAUUUUUAAUUUUUUAAGUUGAAAAAAUAACUUAAUAUUUAUUUUCAGAUAUUCAAAUAAAAAAUAUAUUAUUUAAAUUCAAAAAUUUAAAUCUAUUCAAAAUUUAAAGUAAUUCAGGUCUAUGCAUAUUUCAAUCAUAAAAACAAAUGCCACAUGAGUCAUUCAAUUUCUAAUUAAGAGGAUAAAAAAUAGAUUUGGACUAUCCUAAGACAAAAACAAAAAAAAAAACAAAAAUAAGAUUUCCUAAUAAGUGUACUAACGUGGUCACGCGCCUUGAGAAACGCUUGGACCUAACACACUAUUUUAAUCCGAUAUGCAAAAAAAGAAAAAAAAAAAAAAGGAAAAAUUAUGAGAUGUAUAAGUUUCUAGAGACGUGUUAAAUUUUGAUGAAACAAUGAAGAAAGUCGGUGGCCGAAGUUGGUAUGGGGCAAUGCGAAUGGUGGUUGGCCCACGUUGCCCUGUAAUUGGAGUUGUUAUAAUUUUUCUUAUAAUUAAUAGGACUUGACACAGACUGCAGCAUCAGCCGUUGGAUGUGGAGGGAGAAACUAAACAAUAGAAAACCGUAUGGUGGGAUGACGGUAGAUGUUUGUUACAGAAACUGUACCAUAGACAGGUCCUAAUUAAUAAGCUCUACGUUUUGAAACAAUAAAUAAACUCCAGAUGACCAAAAUAUCAUUUCAUACUGCUACCUAGACAUCUUGGCGAGGGUGGGUAAUGUGGGGCCCGGAGCUUGUUUGAUCGUCAAUUAUUCUCUGGUUUGGUGAAACGAAUGGACGGACGAUGGUGAUGGCUUUUAGGAGAUUAGUAUUAUUAUUAUUAUUAUUAUUAUUACAUUGAGAUCGUAAAACAAAAAAUUCAAUUAAUAAUAUAAAAUAUUUAUUUAAUUUAUUAAUUAUUAUAUAUACACAAUAAAAAAAUUUAUAUACAUAUUUAUAAAUGUGUAAAUAAAUUUCAUUCAAUAUUAUAUCCAAUUAAUCAUUUAUAUUUUUCUGCUGUACCGUACAUCCGCCUUGGCCGUACAGCAGUAAAGCUGCUGAUGCUUUAUCGCGAAUUCAUGAGGAAAAUGUGAUUGAAGAACCCAAACCAACAACUCUUUGUUUGUCGUUAGACAUUUACCCCACAUAAAAAUAUCCCUAUUUUUUCUUUCUUAUAUUAUAUACGAUAAAAUUUGAAAUUUAUGGUAUUUUAUAUAUUAAAAUUCUAAAAUAAUUAUGUAUUCACUUGAAUAUAGUUUUACUUAUAACUGUUAAAAUAUUGUGGUAUUUAAUAUAUUAUUUAUUUGACAUUAAAAUUUAAUAAGGAUACAAAUGUAAAAGUACAUAUUUUCAGUUUUUUCAGUUAAAAAAAAAGCAACUUAAUACUUAUUUUUCGAGAUUCAGACGAAAAAAUAAACAUAUUAUUCAUAUUCAGACAUUUAGAUAUAUUCAGAAUUCAAACUAAUUCAGGUCUAUUCAGAUUUUAGACAAAAAAAACAAACGCCACCUCAAUCAAUAAACACACCAUAAAUGUAGAGUUGUUACUAUUAGAAUACAUUAUAAUUCAUCACAAUUAUGAUAGGUAUAUACGUGUGUAAUAAUUUAUAUAAGAUGCUAAAUUUUGAAAAUAAUAAAAAAUCAUUUAUACAUAUUUAAAAAAAUCAUUAAUACAUUAAAAUGUGCAUCACAUAUACAUUUACAUAAUAGCAAUGACCAUAGUAUAAAAAAAACUCCUAAAAGAGAACGACUUCGUUAUUUAUGUUAUUUUAUAUAUUUUUAAUUGAUUAUUAAAAGGAUCAAUUGUUAAUUAUUAUUCUCCAAACAUAAUCACCGUUAAACAUUUAUUCAAUUUAACAAUAGGUAGAUGUUAAAUAAUAUUGGAAUAUUUAAUGAACAAUAUAAUCACUAUUGCAGUUGUUUUUUUUUUUUAGUAAUGGAUUAUUCGAAACUCAAAUUCAUUUUUUAGCCCCCUUACCUCUCUUAAAAUUCAAAUUUAAGUGACUAAACAAAUAAAACUGCUUAAAAUCUAUACGACUACAUCUUUGGGGACCAAUUAAUAUGGAUGUUUAAAUCUUGAUUUAUUAUUAAAUCUUUGAGUUUCAACCACUAAUAACAUCAUCAUCGAUUAAUGACAAAUAAAAUAAUACAUCAUCAAAACCAUUAAACACGUCCAUCAAUAUCAAAAACAAGUAAAAAGUUUAGCAUGUAUUUCAAAUAUACUUUUCAUCCCAAAAGUUGUAGAGAAAGUCUCGAUAUCAAUGUCACUAUGAGACGUAAUUUUAUAUUUAAAGUCAGCGCAACUUAAAAAUUACUAUGAAUGAAUAAUACACCAUAAAAAAAUUAUUUAUAAGUAUUUUCAUCAUGUAUUUUUAUUUAACAAUGGUGACAUUUAUUUUUUAACUUAAUGACUUAAAGUGGCUUAACUUAAUUAAUUAAGUUAAUUUUAGGUGUUUGUUUUUAUAACUUAAUAGGACAUUUUAGAUAAUUUUGACUUAAUAAAAUAGGCCAAUUUUUUUUAACUUUUUACUUAAUAGAGAAAUUUGAAUUAAGUCAGUUACUUUCUAAUGUAAAAAAAUAUUCCUACUUUAUAAUUUAUUUUUCAUGCAUAUUCAAAAACUCACCCAUAGAUAUUUACCCCACAUAAUCUCAUCUUUAUUUUCUUCCAGCCGUCAUGGAAUCCCUCCUCACUUUGCUUCUCUCCUCUAGUUCUUGAAUCUCCCUUUAAUUUCUCGCUAGGCAAAGCACUUGAAUUGGGCUUUUUUUUUUUUCCUUUUCAAUUACGUUUUCCAACAUUCACUUAUAUAAUAAUCAACUAGUUGCUACUCUUUUUAGUGAUAAAAUUUGAAAUAUGGUAUUUUAUAUAUUAAAUUUUCAAAAUUAUGUAUUCACUUAAAUGUAGUUUUACUUAUAAAUAUUAAAAUAUUAUGUUAUUUAAUAUAUUAUUUAUUUGACAUUCAAAUUUAAUAAGGAUAUAAAUGUAAAAGUACAUAUUUUUAAUUUUUUAAGUUGAAAAAAUAACUUAAUAUUUAUUUUCAGAUAUUCAAAUAAAAAAUAUAUUAUUUAAAUUCAAAAAUUUAAAUCUAUUCAAAAUUUAAAGUAAUUCAGGUCUAUGCAUAUUUCAAUCAUAAAAACAAAUGCCACAUGAGUCAUUCAAUUUCUAAUUAAGAGGAUAAAAAAUAGAUUUGGACUAUCCUAAGACAAAAACAAAAAAAAAAACAAAAAUAAGAUUUCCUAAUAAGUGUACUAACGUGGUCACGCGCCUUGAGAAACGCUUGGACCUAACACACUAUUUUAAUCCGAUAUGCAAAAAAAGAAAAAAAAAAAAAAGGAAAAAUUAUGAGAUGUAUAAGUUUCUAGAGACGUGUUAAAUUUUGAUGAAACAAUGAAGAAAGUCGGUGGCCGAAGUUGGUAUGGGGCAAUGCGAAUGGUGGUUGGCCCACGUUGCCCUGUAAUUGGAGUUGUUAUAAUUUUUCUUAUAAUUAAUAGGACUUGACACAGACUGCAGCAUCAGCCGUUGGAUGUGGAGGGAGAAACUAAACAAUAGAAAACCGUAUGGUGGGAUGACGGUAGAUGUUUGUUACAGAAACUGUACCAUAGACAGGUCCUAAUUAAUAAGCUCUACGUUUUGAAACAAUAAAUAAACUCCAGAUGACCAAAAUAUCAUUUCAUACUGCUACCUAGACAUCUUGGCGAGGGUGGGUAAUGUGGGGCCCGGAGCUUGUUUGAUCGUCAAUUAUUCUCUGGUUUGGUGAAACGAAUGGACGGACGAUGGUGAUGGCUUUUAGGAGAUUAGUAUUAUUAUUAUUAUUAUUAUUAUUACAUUGAGAUCGUAAAACAAAAAAUUCAAUUAAUAAUAUAAAAUAUUUAUUUAAUUUAUUAAUUAUUAUAUAUACACAAUAAAAAAAUUUAUAUACAUAUUUAUAAAUGUGUAAAUAAAUUUCAUUCAAUAUUAUAUCCAAUUAAUCAUUUAUAUUUUUACAGCGGUUUAAUAAUAAUAUUUACUAAAUACAUAUGAUUAUUUUUAAAAUUCACAGUAUUUUUAAAAAUAAAUUUUAUAAAAUUUUUAACUAAUUUUCUUUACAACUAACUAUUGAACGGUUUAACUAAUAGUAAUUAUUUUUAAAAUUAUAGUAUUAUCAAAUUAGUCCUAUGUCAAAUUUGUUAUUGCUGUUUUUUUUUUAAUUAAAAAAUUACAUAGUGCAUACGUGCAUAAUAUGCCCAACUCAAAAAUUCACACAAAAUAUACUAUUUAACUUUAAGGCUUUAAUUGAAAAAAAAAAUUAAGAUUAAGAUGAAUAAAUACUAGAACAUAACAAAUAGAUAAACUCUCCCAUUCUUUAAAAAGAUUAAUUUUAUUUUAAACUUACACUUCGAAUUCAAAGUAGACAUUGAUUGAUAAAAUUAUACAAACGGAUCAAUAUUCCUACAUUUUCUUUUUAAUUUCAAAACCAACAGAUAUUGUUUGUUCAUUAUAUGACCUCCAAACAAAUAAUUUCAUUAAUAAAAUAAUAAUGAAAAGUGUCGUGAUGGGUAUAGAGUAAUUAGGUGGCUAAGUUUCUACUUUUCAUUCUAACUCUUGAGGUUGGUAGGCGCGUGGGUGGUCCACAAAACCCGUGGACGGUAGCAUUCAAACAAAGACUGGAGGCACCAGAAAAAUGUCCAAAAAGUGUGAAACCGUGACGUGUUCAACAUGUUAAUAAAUUUAGGCAAAUGUUAAAGUUACGGAGCUGGCUACGUUACAGAAACUGUACGUAACAGCCAUGCAUUUUUUAUUCGUUGGAUCUAGAGACUGAAAUUGGAUGGUUGGGAUUAAAGGCCAGAAUAGAAAUUAAUCACGGGCAACCGUUUUUAACAUUUAGAAGGGUUUAUUUUCAUGCACACCCAAAUAUUUUGACAAAUAUCAAUAUGCACCCAGUAACUUUUUAUGUAAAACCACAUAACCGACCCGUUAACUUUUCUACUAUUGAAUUAAAAAACUAUCAUGCCUCAAUUGAAUUAAAUUGAUCAGGUAAAAUAUCUUUUAUAACUUGUCAAUUUUUACAGUGAAAUAUACGAGUAUUUAGUAAAAUCAAAUUUAUUUUUUAUUCAGUAAUCAAAUUUUUUUAUUUAGUGAAAUCAAAAUUAUUUUUCUUUAGUUGUAAGAUUUUUUUAACAAAAAAAUUCUAAAAUCAGAUUUAACUCAUUUACUAUUUUAAAAAAUGAACUUUUUACUAACCAAACUAGAGUUUAUCUUUAGUCAACAUAUUUUUUUCUCUAAAAUAACCUUUGAUAGAAUUACUUAUAUAAACAUGUCAGUAUCAAAAUUACUUCAUAUUUUACCAUCCAUCAAUUUAAACUAGUGUGAAAUUUUUUUAGUUUGAUAUUGAAAAUAUGAUAGUUGAUGAGAGAAAUCUAAUUCAAAUUUACAGAUAGAAUAGUUUCUUAUAAUUGCGUACAUGGUAUAUCAAAAAUAUUUUUUUGUGAGUUUUUAAAAAAAUUGUGUCACAAGAUGAAAUUAUCUCUUGAUUUUUCAAUUCCUGGAAUUUAUGUAAAACAAUAAACACAAGUAAAUCUUUUGGUUUGUGACUUCUUGAAGGAAUGUUUGGGAACGCACAAGUUCCUCUCUCCUUCAAAAAGAAUGAUAAGUGCAAAUACCAACCUAGAAAAUUGAUUUAUAAUUCAAAGAAGAUUUGAUUGAAGAUGAUUAAUUGAAAUUUAUCUUUGCAUGAUGUCAAACAUUUUUCAAAAUGACUAAGUCAAGUCUCUUUGUUAAUUCAAAUCAAGAAAAAUUAGAAAAAUAUUAAUGCAUAGAAAUUCUACUAAGAGUUAUUUAUGAAAUUCUCAAACGAAUAGAAAUUAAAUUAACAUUUUUAAAUUUUAGUUAUGGGUUUAUUUUAAAAAUGGGUUUAGAAAGAAAUUUGAGGGGUUUAAAGAACCCCGCCCUUUCUUUAAUUAUUCGGUGAAUUUGAAAUAUAUUAAUAAGGUAUAAGAAUAUGUUAUUCUAAUCUUCUUAUGCAAAAUCUAUGCAAUUAAAAAAAAAUUCACCAAACGGUAUUUGUCUUUUUAUUGACAUUUAAUAAUAUUGAUGGCAAAUAUAUACAAUUAUCAAUCAAUUGUUAUCAACUAUUCAAGAUAACUGAAAAACUAAUUGCGUGAAGUUGGAGUAAUGAUUGUUUGAAUUGCCAAGAGUUUUUUUUUAAUAGAAACUAUUGCAAUUCAUAUCAUUAAAAAACUUAAAGACUACAAGUCGAAUAAAAAAUCUUUCCUUAUAAAAGAAUUUGACCAACUCAAAGUACAGUGUUAAAUCCUUGAGAUACAAUGAACCUAAAAAUCCUACUUUGACACACCACAAAUAAUGAAUCUAACUUAACAAUCAAUGGAGAUAAAUCAAUUUUACUAGCAAAAUAUAAGCCAAAACACAAGGCAACGUCUUCACCAAAAUCAAUAUCAUUCAAAUAAUUCCCCUUGUGAACGCCUGAAGCUAUCAUAAAAACAACAAAAAAUAAAAAAAUAAAAACAAGUAGACAAGCAAAAAAAUUCCCCAAUAACAAGUUACCCUACAAAACUUUUCCUUGUAGAACAUACACAGAAACCGCAGCUAUAGGGCUAUCGAAAGUAGGGAUGGCAAUGGGGAGGGGAGGGGAGGGGACCAAUCUCCCCAUACCCAUCCCCGAUAUUUUGCGUAUGUCCCCGUCCCCGUCAGAAUUGCUUGAGAGAAUCUCCAUCCCCUCCCCGAAUAAUAACAGGGGAUCCCCGAGGGUCCCCGGUCUUUGGAAAAGCUAGGAAAGAAAAGGGACGUGAAAAACAAAGGGGGUAGAUUUUUUGAAGGGGAAAGAAAAAGAAACCCUAGAUCUAAAUUUUUCUCUUCUCUCUAUGAAGAACUAAACCUAUUAUUCUGGUUGAAGAUUAAUAAAGCUUUGGUUCAUCAUUACUGUGAGAUCUUUCUUAUGCUUUAAUUGUUUUAUUGCUUUUUGGGUAUUUGUUUAUUCUCUAAAUUAUUGUCAUGAUUAUAUUUGUUAAUUAGAUAAUUGGCCACUAUUUAAUUAUCAACUUAAUCUAUUGUCAAUUAAAAGAUUCAUCGUAUGAAGAUUUUAAUAUUUGUGACAAAUAGCAUAGCAGUGCGUUGUGUUAUGAGAAUAAACAAUCUAAUUUAAAUGAACCAUCGUAUGCGUUUGUUGAUUAGGAUUUGGGUCUCUCUGAUUUUUCAGGUUGUCAAUUAAUUAAAUCCUAUGAUUGUAUCUAGGGUUAUCUAUUAAUUAGGGAAAUAACCAAUGGUCGUACCUUAGUUAUCGACUAGUUAAAGAGAGAUUGGCUAUUAAAGGGUCUCAGUAGCUAGGGAUGGCAAAAAUCCCCACGGGGACGGGCACCCUCGGGGAUUUUCCCCAUUCGGGGAGGGUACGGGGAUAAUUUUAUACCCAAUUUUUUUUUCGGGGAGGGGACGGGGAAAAUUUUUUACCCAAUUUUUUAUUCGGGGAGGGGACGGGGAUGAGGUGGAAUCCCCAUCCCCUACCCAUUUCCCCAUUUUAAUUUUUAUUUUUUAUUUUUAAAAUUACUAAUAAAUAUAUAACAAAAUUAUAAAUAUUGGCAAGAUAUGAGUGGAAUUUUGGGUGUGACAUGUAUAUUUGAUCCAAGGUAUAAAAAGAAGUUCAUUGAAUAAUACUUUUCUUUUUAUUUUUAAAAUUACUAAUAAAUAAAUAACAAAAUUAUAAAUAUUGUUAAAAAUAAUAAAUAUCAAAAUAGUUGUAUGUUGGGAAAGUGGUCACCCCUUACCAGGAAUUAGUGGAAGAGUAUCAAUUGAAGUUUUCACCAAUUGUUUAUUGCUUUGAUUAUACUGGUUGUAGUUCUUCUAUUAGAUCUACAGGGGAUUCUUAUAAGAAAGCAACCAAAUGGAUGACAUGUUUUGAUGAUUAUGUAAACAAUGGAGAUUGUGCAGUUGUUGCAGAUGAAUUAGAUUCAUAUUUGGAUGAAAAAGUUAUACCCCGGAUGGAAGAUUUUAAUAUUUUGAGUUGGUGGAAGACAAAUGCUAAUAGGUAUCCUACAUUAGCUCGAAUUGCUACAGGACGAGCAGGAGGUAAAUAGUUUUAUUAAAAAUAUUAAUUAAGUAUCUACAUUUAUUUCAUUUAUUUUAUUGCCGAUGUAAAAAAUAUUUUUUUUUUCUUUUUAUUGUAGGAUUAUGAAGAUUGAGACAUUGAUAAAGAUAAUUAUUUUAAUAAUUUAUAUUUUGAAUGUGACUUUGUAAUGGAUCAAUAUUAAUGUAAGAUAUAUUUUAAACUUUAUUUUUAUCUGAAUUUUUUAUUUUAAUAUGAUUAAUUUAAAAUCAAAAAUAAAAAAAUGUAUUAGACUAUUAAUUAUUCGGAGACCGGGGACCCUCGGGGAUCCCCUGUUAUUAUUCGGGGAGGGGAUGGGGAUUCUCUCAAGCAAUUCUAACGGGGACGGGGAGGGGACGGGGACAUACGCAAAAUAUCGGGGAUGGGUAUGGGGAGAUUAGUCCCCUCCCCUCUCCUCCCCAUUGCCAUCCCUAGAUUUUUGCCAUCCCUAUCGAAACCUCUACCCACCACUAUUAGAGUUAAAAAAAUCUCUGAUAUGAGUGUAUUCUUCUAAUUUGAACUCUAACGUGAUUUUUUGAGAGAUUCAUUGGAAAAAAACCUUAAGGAGUUAAAGAAGAAAUUUAAAAAAAAAAUCAUAAAAAGAGGAAUGAAAAGAAAAAGAUGCUUUACCAAGAGUUGAUUGACAGUAAUUGGUAAAUUUGAGCAUGCAAUAAAAUUUACCCAUAUAUUCAUAUGACAUAAAAUAUAAUUUUAUUCAUUAAUUACACUACUAAUUUGUCUAAAUUUUAGUUUUUAAAAAAAUAAAUUUCUAUAUAUUUACAUAAAUCUUAGUUUUUAUAAAAAUAAAUUGAAAAAUAAAUUUAUGUUUUUAUAAAAAUAAAUUUAUGUUUAUUUUUUUACAUUGACCUGAAGAAAAGACUAGUACUACUAAGCUGCUGUACGGCCAAGGCGGAUGUACGGUACAGCAGCAAUUUGACUGUUUGGGGGUGGGGUUGAUGGCUUACAUCAAAGUUAGUGUGUGCUAAGGAUUAACAAUAAUAAUGGGGUAAAUAUGAAAUUAAUCCUUGCCCAAGCAUUAGAAGUUCGUCGGUUUUCUUUUAACCGGAUAAUUACCGGUGAAUAUGUCACGCGUUCCUACACGUGGCAGCAUCUAAUUUAUUCGCUUGUCAUUUCAGUUUCUGUUAGUUACAGUUUCUGUAACGUAGCUAGCUCCGUCAGGUACAGGCAUGUUGUAACUUACGUUUCUCGUAAAAAUCAUAUAAGUUCUAUUUCUACCGCUAGGGUGAGCAUGGGUUGAUUUGGAUUAAAUUUUAAGUUAAUUUAAAUUAAAUUAUAAAAAUUUGGGUGUAAUCUAAAUUAAUUUAAAUAUUUUUAACAUAACUCAUGGGUUGGUUAAAUCAAACUAUAAAAAUUUGGUCCAACUCAAAUUAACUCAAAUAUUUUCAACACAACCCAAAGCAACUCAGUUGGAUUUUAUUAAAAUUAUAAUAAUUAUUAAUUGUUUUUAAACCAACCAUUUUGAGUUUGGUUUGGAUUUUAUUAUCAAAAUAUAUUUUUUAUUUUGAGAAAUUUAAUUUUAUCAAAAUUAUAAUAAUUAUUAAUUGUUAUUACUUAUUAAAUUGAUAAUAACAUAUAAAAAUUAUAAUUCAUAAAAAUUAUAAAUAACAAAUUUUACAAUAACUUAAUCCUUAAAUUAAAGAAUACUAGAAAAUUAAAAUAAAGUUUAAUCACAAAAAUCAUUAUUUAUCAAUAAAUAAGAAAAUUCUAAUAAAAAACUUCUACAAGCACGAUAUCGACAAGUAAAUUCAAAGAAAGAAAGAAAGAAAGAAAAGACUAGUACUACUAAGUAUUAACCCUAUUACAACACAAACUCUAACAAUGUCCAUACAAAUAAAAAAAAAUAAGACAUUCUAACUCAAGUGUCAAAGCAAUCCAUCAUAAUCAUUUCCAUCCGUAGUACUUUAAUCGAGAGAUUCCACGAUUAACUGACAAAAUGUAUGACAAUGAUAAUUUACAUUGAUUAUGACAUAAUAGAGAUGGAUUUGUCAAAGCCAAAUCAUUUGCUGGAAAGGAAUUUAGUUGAAGUAGGAACCAAAAUUCAACUUAGAUGGAUCUAUAAAAUUGGUCAUUCAAUACAUAAGUACUUUAUCAACAGAUUCAACACAUUAUAAAUUUAUGGAUUCAACUAAGUUACAACCAGCUGCAACUUAUUCCUCUCACAUAAACAAUAAUACAGCGGUAGGCUAUAUUAUUUACAAAAAGUACUUAUGUAUUGAAUGACCAAUUUUAUUACCUGCAAAAUUAAUUAAUCUUUCACUCUAUCAUCUAACUAAUGGAAGGCAAUCUUAUUUUAGGUUGUAAUGAUUAGAAACUAGCAGGAAGUGGGGGCGAUGCUCCAUAUUAAUUUGGAUAAAUCCCUUUCUAGUGAAGAAGUUAAAAUUAUAAAAUAGAGAUCAAGAUAGAAAUUUAAAGGCCCCGAUUGUUUUUUACAGACUUAAAAAUGAUAUUGAAAAAUUAAAAGCUAAUUUUAGUAUUUAAAAAUUACUUUAAGAAAAAUCACCCUAUCUUCCUGUAAAUUUUGAAAAGCAUGAAAAGAGCAGUUUUUCAAAAAUUGAUUUCGAAAAUUAGUUUCAUACUUAAUACAAUUCCAUAUAUCCUAACAUUUAUUAUAAAAAUUCAAAUUAUCCUUAUUAAAUUAGGAAAUAAAGUCAGUACAUUUAAAUAAGAGUGAUGAUAUAGACACAAACUCUUGUACCAACUGACGUAGCAUUAAUUUAUUAGUUGAAUGAAAAUAUAAAAUAAUAUAAAUAAAUCAUGUGGGCCAAGAAAUAUUUAAUUUAACCAAUUUUAUCAUGUCACAUUAUAAGCAACUUAUAAACUCAUUGGAUUCGACUCUUUACUAAAAUAAAAAUAAAUUAAUAUAUAUAUAUAUAUAUAUAUAUAUUUACAUACAUAAAAUGUGAUUAUAUACACAUAUUUAUAAUUGAAUAUGUACAUAAAUUCUGUAGAUUUAUGUCUAUCUAUACAUUUGCAUUCUUACCACAUUUUAAAAGUGUGAUUUACCAAAUACAUGGGACUUAUUUGAAAUUUAUAGCACUUUUAUAAAUAAAAUUUAUCAAACGUUAAACAGAUUCUCUAUUUUCGCGUAUAUAUCCUCAUGUAAAUUAUAAAAAUUCAAAAUUAUCUUUAUUCAAUUAGGAAAUUAAAUCAUUAUUUUUAAAGAGAUUCUUAUUAUUACUAAUUAGAUUCAAAUAACCAAAAAAAUACAAUCAAUAAAAUAAAAAUAUUUAUUUUAGUUAUCAUUUAUUAUAUACACAUAUUUAUAAAUGCAUGUGUAAAUAAAAUUUUAUAGAUUUAUGUCUAUUUAAGUUAUUUGCAUUCUUACAACAUUUAAAAAAUGAGAUUUACUAAACACAUGUGAUUGUUUUUAAAAAAGUUACAACACUUUUAAAAAUAAAAUUUAACAAAUGUUUAAUUGACUCUCUCCAAAGGUAAUUGUUUUUACAGUAUAGCUAAAGUAAUUUAUAAAUUUAUGAUAAGUAUUUGUGAAUAUUGGUCUAUGUAAAGAAGUAAAAACAACAUAUAUAUUAAGCAGCAUGAUAUUAAAACUCUUAGUAAAAUACAUAUACUAAUAAAAGAAAGACAACAAUGCAAUAAAUAAGCUUAUAAUAUAAAUUAUUAAAAUUGUAUAUUAAAAAAUUAUGCAUGAAAUUCUUUUUCUAUUUUGGUGAUAGAGAAUGCGAUAUAAUUGAAUUAUUUGAUUUAAUAAAAAAAAAAUAUGACUGUGAAGGAAAUUAACAAUUGAAUUGUGGAAUGUUAUUAAUUGUUAUUGUAUCAUUUUGCAACGUUCUAAUAAUAUGGACAAUGUUACAGUAUAUUGAUGGGCGGUAAUAUUUUCACCUCUUAAAUUGUGUAAAGUCAGCUCCAUUUAAAAAAAUUAUAUAUAAAAAGCCCAUUAGUUUUAAUAGUUUCAAAUUAAGAUUAAAUGCAAAUAAUUAACCAAUUAAAUCCUUAUUAAUAAGAUCAUUGAGCUUUAAUUAAACUAAUAAAAUGCAUUUGAUAAAUGAAAUUUACGAUAUUUAAUUACAUGAAAUUUAUUGACUACAUGAAUAAUAUAAUUGUUCAGCUGUUUAAACUUUUUCCCUAUUUAAAUUUUAAAAAACAAUGUGAAAUUUUGUAAAUAGUUCUUUGAAAUGGGGUGGAUUUACACCAUUUGUGCAGUGCAAAUAUCCUAAUUCUAACAUUUUUUUUAAAAAAAAAGACCAAAUCAUAACAUUUUUUGUAUACUAAGUUAAAGUAGUACUAACAUUAUAGCCCCCUAAUGAUUUCAAUUCAUUCAAUGAAUAUAUAAUUUAAGCAUGUUAUAAACUAAGUCUCUAAAUCGAAUUAAAAAAAGAAAAAAGAGCUUAAUUGCUGACAUAGUUGAAAAUAAAAUAAAAAAUUUUAUUAUUAGAUGAAAAAUUAUGAAACUUAAGGGGUAUAAGCGAGUCGGCAGCUGCUCACCAGGGCAUAUGUAAUAUUUGUUAAUACAUUUCAAAAUUUUAGGUUUUUUAAUAAUAUUUUCAAUACAUUUUCUAGAAGGUUUAGAAAAAAAAAAUGACUCAAUACUUUAAUCGAGCUAUGAAUAAACUCAUGUGUUAAAAAAUUUCAUAUUUACACCCAAUAAGAUUAAUUAAUGGGUGAUACAAAUUUAAGAUAGUUAAUAAUAAUAUAUAUCAUCUUAAGUUAACUUCAACUCAUUAACCUUGUAUAAGGUUUGAUGGGUCGUGCCGCAAAUUAUCACCUCUAAUCCUUUUUGCAACAGGCAUGAUGAAUGCUAACAAAAUGAAACUUCUAUAUAUUUAGUUGUUAUUCUUUUUAAUGAAAUAAUAAGGAGCUUUGCUGCAAAUUUCCAUCCAGCAUGGCAUGGACGCACGUGAAAUUUGCUAGUAUGGUCCUGGACAUGCGUGGCUGAGAUGCUUCUAAAGGCAAAGAAUUCCAAGUUCAUACCAAAUAUAACUUUCUGAUAUUUUUGUGGUAUCAAGUUUGUUUUUCACAAACUAAGGUGUCGGCGUAAAGUUGUUGUCCAUGCAAUGAAGUUUUAUACAUAAAUAUAUUAACCUAAAUUGUUACUAAAGUUCCAUAAUUAGCAGUUCCUGAGAGUUUUUACUAUAUAUUUUUUUGUUUUAAUUCAACAUAUGUUUAUUUAAUACGAUUUUAUUAAAUAAAUGUGCAUAUUUACCAUAUUUGUCUACGAUCAAUUAGUUGGAAAAAAAAAAGAAAAUUAAUAAAUUUAUUUAUUUGAUUGUUAAUGGUUUAGGCAUUUGAAUUCCCACAAAGUCAGGGUGUCAGCUCUGGACUUCUGGUGAUGUAUUUUUCUAAUAAAGAAAUAAAAUAUUGUUGUCAUUUUUUUAAUAUUCUAAUUUACCAAGCCUACCAACCAAUUAAUUUUUCUAAUUAGAUCAUUAAUUCAUUACACGUGCAUUCGCUGGCCCAGUGCUCCAAUCCCAUGCAUGCUGCACAACUCAAUGUGUUUUAAUAAGAAAAGGUUUGGUUAGCCUGUGCUGAUGCCAGAAGCCCCUUAAGGAGUUCAGGUAAACGUAAAUAUGUCCAGAUUUAGAUUUGAAUAUGUAAACGUAAAUAGGUCCAGAUUCAGAUUCGUUGCGCUAGAGAGGGGCACGCACGAUCGGGCUGCUGUCAGGUGGUACGUUGGCGUGGCAAUUCUCAACACGCGCUUCUCCUGGUGCAUACUUACGGCAAGUUGACACGUGACCCGUGUGGAUUGAGUGGACAGAGUCACGGGCACUGAUUUUUGUCAUCCAUAACGACUAACGUCGGAGACUUCGAGAAGAAAGAAAUUGUUGUCGUUUCUAAGGGGAAAAAAAUAUUUAAUUUGUUGAAGACAAAUUAACGUCGGAGAUUUUUUUUAUUUUUUAUUUUUAAUUUUGCAAUCUAAACCAGUCUAAUCAAAAUGUCAAUUUGACAAAAGUUGGACUGAUUUAGAUUAGUUCUAUUAGUUUGAUUGGAUUAAAUUGAAUUAGAUCUUGAACAUCCUAACACUUUUCAUGAAUGUUUUCCUUUUUUUUUGAAAAAAAUUAAUAAGGAGAAUUCCCAUGAAUGUUAAUUUUAUUGAUAAACUUGGCAAUUUUAAGAAAUGUUUUGACGCACGAAUAAUGCAAUUCAUCAACCCACAUAGAUAUGGAUAUAGGAAGCAGAGACCAGAUCGAUCUUGACAUAACGAAAACUUGUAUGUGUAUAUGUAUGUUACAGACCAGAUCGAUCUGUAGCAUAGACUUCUCCUAUAUGUAGGUUAUAUUCAAAUUACAAAAUGAACACAUGUUAAGGAUCUACAACUUCUUCUUUAAUCUAAUAAGCUCCCUCAACUUUAUUCCAAAACAAAAAAGAAUCAAAUUUUUGUUGGAAAUAUUUAUGAAUGAAGAAGCAAAAAGCGCUUGUAUCAAGGAUCUAAUUAAAGAACUGCCAGAGGCAUAGAUCUAUCAAAGCUCCCUCGCAUGACUCUUGGUCUCGGUGGCUUCUUCUUCUUCAUUCCGAAUUUUCCCUCCAUCUGAUCUCUUCCAACCUUUCCAUUUCCAAAUUGAAUUGAAACUUGCCUCAUAUUCGUUUGUUGAAUCCCAUCUUUUGUUGCACCACCAUGCAUCAAAAUCCUUGAAAUCCCAGCAUAAUGCAAGGACUCAGCUAUUUGCAAUGGGGUCACGUUCUUACUUGUCCUUGCCUCAACAUCAGCUCCCUUCUUCACAAGCAAUUCAGUCACAUCUGUGUGGCCAGAUUCCACCGCACAAUGCAAAGCUGUGUACCCAUCUUCAUCUUUAGCAUCAACAUCAAUCCCUUUAUCAAUCAGAAUCCUCACAACCUCAAUCUUUCCCUUAAACGAAGCCCUAUGCAAAGCAGUCCAUCCAUGUAGGUCUUUCCCAUUGAUCGCGGCGCCUGCUUCGAUCAACCUCUGCAUUGUCCUCACUUCCCCUUUCCUAGCGGCAAUACACAGGCUGUCACCAAGCUUCAACGCGUCAAAGAGACGGGAGUGACCGCACUCAGCAGCAACAUCAUAAGCGGUCUUUCCGCUCUUGUUUCUAAUAUAUUUAUUAGCACCCUUCUGCAAUAACAGCUUCACCAUUUGCUCAUAUCCCAAGCUUGCGGCGAUAUGCAAAGGCGUGUCACCGUCUCUAGCGUUGCGUAUAUCAGGCCUUGCUCCGUUUGCUAACAGAAGUCUCGCGCAAUCUCUUCUUCUGUCUUCAACCGCGAGAUGCAGAGCUGUGUUACCAUCUUUUGUUAAAGCAUUGACAUUAGCACCUUUGAUUAAGAGAAGCUUUAGUACUUCCAAAUGGCCGCCUCGUAAGGCCAAGUGUAUGGGCCCCCAUGUUGAUGUUCCUGAUCUUUCUGUGCUGGCUUUCCUCGCCAACAAGAGCUCAACAAUAAGUGCUUCCCCUGCAGCCGCCGCGGCUUCAAGUGGAGUACUGCAGCCACACCUGCCUUGAGACUCAACAUCCGGCCCAAACUCAAGCAAAAGUUGAACAAUAUCAGGCCUCCUUUGAGCUAUAGCAAUAUGAAGCAACGUUUGUCCCUGCGCAUCGGCAGAAUCAGCCGGGUUCCAAGCCGGGUCACUCCGCUCAAGAACCUCUCUUAAAUCAUCCAUUUCACCAUCCUUAACAAGCAGAACCAAAACAGGAGACCCAACGAACAUGAUCUUGAUUCCGCUGUCGAUGAACACUUGCUUCUUCCUCGUUGUGAACCAGUCACUGGGGACGGAAUCAAGCGUCGACGUUGCAUCUUUAAUUCCAGCUCCAGGAACAACAACGCUGUGCAAGAGGAAGGAAUCAUCACAGUGAGGGAAAGAAUCAGGAAGAACCGAUCCUGGAGGGAGAUGAUACGCAAUCUCUACGCUUAGUGUUGCGAGUGGUGAUAUGAUUCCUGAUUGCGGCUUCACAGUAUAACGAGCCUUGUUUGUAGGCUGAAUCCUGAAAGCAACAGGCAUCGUGUGCAUGACAUUGCGGAGAGUCAGCUCCCCGGAACAUUUCUGCCCUGGUUCAAUUCUGAUAGCUACAAGGUUCGACGGCUCCAAGCUUACAAGCCUAUCCAUUGAUUAAUUUUCUCUCCGUUUCCCAAGGACUGCUGAAAGGGGUUCUUUGAACUUUUUGAUUCAGGCUUAUUUUCUUCACUUUUGGUGGCAUGGGGAGGAAUUAGAGGAGUAACUGUAAGAGCUGCAAGUGUUGGUGUAAUCAACUGUAAUAUAAGGAGAAGAGAGGGCCGGCUCUAAUGGGAGACUGCCACGUGGUGGUGUUAAAAACAAUGAGACUUGUUCUGUUCGGCGUCCGGAGUGUAUAUACAGUUGUGUUAGUGGUGAAAGUUAAAGAAAUCCUGAAGUUAUUUUCGGAGUGGCUUCUGCAAAGUCACUUUCAGGAUUGUAUUGUAUCAUUAAAAAACAAAGCCAGUUUUUGUUGUUCUAGUAAAAGGCGAAUCAUUGGACAAACUCGUAAGAAUAUGUUGCCAAAUGUAUAAAAUAUGAAAUUCAAACAAUGAUUACAAUGUGAAAUUGGACAAUGGACAUGGCCUGUGUGAAUUGUUUUGUGGGCUUACUAAUUAAAUUAAUUCACUAAAAAUAAUGUCACUUUUGUGUCUGUGAAGAAGCCGAAAUGGCACAGUCAUUUACGUGGCCAACUACGGUGACUACUUCGUCAGUAGCUGCUCGAGCACUUGGUCAGCACAAGUUGCUUUCUUUCUUGGCGGGAUUAGUUUUUCUUCAUUGCUUUAAGUGGUGCAUUUCUGCAGUUUCAUUUUGCUUUGCUUAUGCCAUUGGAUUUGUGCCCCAUAAAUAAAUAUAUAAUUAAGCGGAAAAGUAUCAAAUUUUGAAAAAGCUUAGGUUUUGUGUGUGUGUGUGUGUGUGUGUGUGUGUGUGUUUUAAGCCGAAUUACUCGGCUAAAAAUUAAUCCGAUUAUUAUUGUUUUGGUGCUUAAGAUGUGACUCUAACCUAAAGCUCAUUUGAACUCUCUUGAUGCUCAUAUGGUAUUUUUUGUGUUGUGUCGUGCUGGCCCUUACACAUCUCGGCUCAUAUUUUUCAUGUUACUAAGUUCUAAUAUGUACAAAAGAAAUAGAGCAAUGUCCGGUGGUAGAUCCAAACACUCAAUUUGGGGUGCUUAUUUUUCAGUCUCAAAUUCGAUUAUUUUCUUUUAAAAUAUUAAAAUAAUAGUAAUAAAAUACUUAUUUUAAAUACUGAGCUCAUUACAACCACAUAUGUAAAAGUAUCAUUUAUAUUUUUUUUCUAAAUAAUCUUCACAAAAUAUUUUAAAAAAUAAAAUUAUGUGACUAUGGGGAUUUGAACCAAGUCUCUCAAACUACUAAAUAACACUUUUACCACUAAAUUACAAAUCUUUUAACAUAUUAAAAGUGCAUCCAAAUUAUUAUUAUUAUUUAAUUAUUUCAUAAGAGAUUUGGGGCACAUUUAAAAGAAAAAAAAUUAAUGGUGCAUAAAGGACUAAAGCCUCUCUUGAGUCCUUGACCUUAACUAGGUCCACCCAUGGUAAUGUCAGUGAUACCCAACUUGAAAAAUAUACAAGAAACUUGGAAAUUUAAAUUAAUGAAUAAAUAAAUAAAUAAAAGGAAACUUAGUGAUUGUAGCUGUUGUAUUGUAUUGUGGAUCAAAGAAUUACAAGUUCUUGGUUUCUCGGUAUUGGCUAAUUUUGAAGUUAAAUGAAGUUCGAAAAUAUUUACAAGCAAUAAAAUUAUCAACUGAAUGAGACAAGGAAAGAGUAUAAAGACCUUAGCAAAUUAGCAAUCCUUCUUUAAUUUAGUAACAGUGACGCUUAUAAAGUUAGAAGACGUAUCAAAUCUAAUUUAGAUUUUGCCCCAUAAAACUAACUUAACUUAUAGUGCGUCUUUGUUUAAUUAGUAAAUAUUCCACAAAAACUGAUCAGCACUUUAUAGGAAAUUCCAAACACGUUUAUAUUCACAAGGAAUAUGUCAAGGAGAAAUGAGAAUAAAAAAAUGUAAAAACUAAUAAAGCUUCAUUAAUUAGAAUUUAUAACCAUAUGUGCUCCUAUACUACUUUUAUUAUUAAGAAUUUGAAGUAGAAGGUAGUUGAUUAUCAUGAAAUUACAAAAUUGUAAACGGAUUUGUUCUUUUGGAAAAAGAAAAAAAAAAAAAAAGGAAGGAUAGUUGAUUACUUGAUUAGUGAGAAAUCAUACGUAUAAAGGACAAAUUGAAAAAUGGGACCUGAAUUGCAACAAAGCUUCAUUGGAAUUAACUGCCGAUAAAAUUAAAUUAGUAUCACCCUACCCUUUCAUCUUAAUAUAUUCGAAAUUUCACCGAUCAAAGUUUCUAGCUUCGAUUUUUACGAUCUCUCAUCCUAAUAACACCAAAAGCAUAUUCAUUCGUUUGUAAGAUUAUGUAACAAAAUAUAGUAAAUAGCCUAUAAUUUUUUUGUUUUACUACUAACCUGUUAUCAUUCUUUUCUAAUAAUACAUGUUAAAAUAUUCACAGAAAAAAUUUAUCCCUAUUACACCCAACCACCUUUUUUUGUGUUUUUUUUGUUCAAAUUUUAGCAUUAAAGGGACAAUAAUGUCCUAUGAAAUAUGCAGAAAGACAGUUAAUAAUAUUCAAAAAUGUAAGUGGAGGUAUCUUACGCCACACACACAAAUUACACGACUCUCAUUAAUGUGUUGUUGUUGUUAUGUGUGGCGUAAGUUACAGUUGAAUGUCAUAUUCAAAAAAGUAAGUGGAGGUAUCAAUCUCCCUAAAUAAAUAAUUUAUGGAAGGUUGUUAGCUGUUGUACUUUUAGUUAAUUUUAAAAUCACAAUAAUAUGGUUAAUGUUAAGUUACAUGCAUGUAACUUAGGAGGAUCCCAAUAAUAUACCAUAUUUUAUUAAUAUGUACAGUAUUUAUAAUAUUUAAAAAUUAAGGAAUUAAUGUACGCAUGUAAAAGCUGCAUUGGAGCCAGUUGGAAAUCUUACUGUCUUGAUAUAUGCAACGAUUGUAGCAGCUAAAAAGGCAUGAUAUUUACUUAAUAUUAUUUCAAACAAUAAUUAUUUAUUUAAAGCAAAUAAUAAUAAUGAGGGCAGAAGGACUAUUCUAGGAUCAAUAUGGUGACAGUAUAAAUAAAUAAUAUUAAUUAUUAAUGCAUUGAUGAGUAUUGUUAAAAUGACAUAAUAGGUUUGUUUCAUUGAAUUGAACCUUUUCUCUUAAAAUAGCUAUAAUUUGUUCUCUCUCUCUCUGUGUUUUUGUUUUUGUUUUUCACUUUAGUUUUACUUCUCUUAAAAAACCAAAAAAAAAAAAACAAAAUUAAUGGAAACUGAUGAUGGGAAGACGGACAAUUUUCUAUAUUGUUAAAUAGAAAUGGGCACAAAUGUGAGUUUUUUGGGGCAAAAAAAUAUAGUCAAUGUACGUAGCGUUUGUCUAUUUGAAAACCCGUCAAUAUAAAAACAGGACGUAAAGCUUUCAGACAAAGUACUCUUAUGGCCGUACUUUCCAUAAACCAAAUCAAAAGAAGGAAAAUAUUUGUGUCUGGCUUCGAUGCGACUGUUAACAUUCACAAAUAAACACCUUUGCAUGGUCAGAAAAAUUAACAAGAAAUUAGAAGGCGAUGUUGCGUUCUACUUAGUUCUCUAGGAUUUGUGUCAUUUGUUUAUGCUACGGUUCGUUCCCAUUUGCAUUGCGUGGAAUAAUUGGCCGAAUAUUAUUAAUCUCAAUCUUAAUCUCUCAACUCUUGUCCCUUUAAUUUUUGUUUGUAUCUUUUUCUUUUUUUUUUUAAAUAUCACAUACAAUGCUUUUAAUAAAUAACUUCAUAGAAAUAUUUAAUAAAAUCCAACAUAUAUAAGUUCAAGAAACUCAAAAAAUAAAAGAAAAUAAACUCACGUUGUCACUGGAGAGACUCAAACAUGCUACCUUAAAAUUAAGUAGAGGGUGCAACUACUUGCACUUUAAAAAAAGAAAAGAAAAAAAAAGGGGCUUUGAACGCUCGUGAUAAUUUGCAAGUUAUGGAGGAUAAUCAUUGUACAAUGGGGAGAACUCUUAUGGAACAAUAUUCAAACUGAUAUUGAAAGCAUAUAAGAAUUUGGCUUGGGUGUUUUGGUGCCAUGAAUGAGUGCAGAAACAAAGAGGAAGCUUUGUCCCUUUAAUUUGAUCUGCUGUAUUAUAAUUAUUGAGAUUAAUCAAAUAAAUAACCGAAACAUGGUUACAGUUUUAUAGUGUAUUGCAAGUCUUUGGAGAUACUAUGUACCUCAAAAAAAAAUAUCGUAUAAAAGAGUGUUUUGUUUCACAGGGGUUCAAUGAGAUUUGAGAUGGCUGUAAUGAAAGUGAUGUAAAUUUUUUGGACUCUAAUGAGGUGUUUUUAGAUGGAGGGGGAUUUACAAGUAUUUUAUAGGGGUGAUAAAUGACUGUAUACCCACCAAAAAGGCCCAUUGUUCGAGUCCAUGAGCAUUACAGUUUUUUUUUUUUUUUUUUUUGAAAUUCAGAACAUGCAGUUUGUUUGAUUCAACUUCCGAAUUACAAAAUUAGAAUAAGAAAAAAAAAUGUGGAUGUUUUUUCUUUAAUUUACAUAAUAAUACAUGGUGUGGACGAUGUCUAUUGAGGGAUAAAAGAGGAAUGGGGGCACUGUGAAGUUUGUGUUUUUGUUUUUUUUAAAUUAUCAUAUUCAUACUGUCUAUAAAAAUAUGCAAGUUAAAAAAUUACUCAUGAUAUUGUUGUUUUUGUUUCAUAUAAUACUACUUAUGCACAUCGCCUCAUGCAAACAUUUCUUAGUUAUGCUUAAAAAAAUGAGAUUCUCACCAUGGGUCACUGUAAAAAUCCACAGAAGCCGUGGAUCACAGUAGGAAGCCCACUUGAACAGAAGAAGCUACCGAAAGCUUCGACAUUGUAUUUAUGAAAUGCUUAGUAAAUUUUGUUUUAUUUUGAAUUUAUAUUAUAAAUGGUGUGUUGCUAAAUUAAAAAAUAAAAAAGAAAUGCAAUGUGUCAAAAUACAAGAAUCUUACGGACAUUUUUGUCACAAUAUAUGUAAAUAAUUCAUAUCUUAUUCAUAUCCUAUGUAAGCUUCACUUGUUUAACACAAUGGUGGUUGAAUCUUCAAAAAUUCAUAAUCUUAAACAACCAAAUUUGGAAUUAAUUAAGCAAAUUGCCUCUAUAAAUUGAUUACAACAACCAACGACGUGUGAAGCCACAUGUCAAUUUCCCUAGACAGCCCAAAUAUUGAGGCGCUGUGAGGGAGCAAGGUGCAAUCGGAUGGGGGAAAGAGAGAGAGCCAAUGGUGAGAAUGGAUCGUGGUGAGGGAGAACCAACUGGUGGUGAGAUUUGUGGCUUCAAUGAGGUGAGUUUCGUGGCGCUGUGAGUGAAGUGAGAUUUGGCAUGAGUGUGAGGGAGAAUGCGUGUGUUGUGUGAGUGAGGUAAGCUGUGUCUGUUGUGUGCAUGGAGACUCUCACCACAAUUAGAAUUUAUAGUUAGCACAGAACGAAACACAAUAUUCUACGCUAACUGUGGAGUUAACCAUGGUGAGAAUAUCAUUAUUGUUUAUUAUAACACUUUUUUUUUUAAUUUGUUUUGACAAUAAAAUAAAGAACCUUGUAAGAAAACCUCAAUAACUCAAUUAAAAAACCAACUCAACCGAUGAUAGGUAAAUUGAGAAAUUUUCAACUAAAAAUUAUUAAGAUUGGUUUUAACUUCAAAUCAUAGUCACAUAGUUUUGUCCUUAUAAAGAUCAAAAUAAUGAAUUCUAACUCCGAAGUUUUUAGAUUUAUGUGACGAACUGACGAUAGUAUAUUGAAAUCGAUUGAAAUGAAAAAUUUAAUUAAAUGCAAUUCAAGAUGUAGUAUCAAAUUCAAACGAUUCGGAUUGUUUUAAAAAUUUCAAUGCUUUAAUCUAAAUCGAUUAAUCAAUUACACUCUUGCAAUUAUAUACCGUUAAAACUAAAAUAUGUAAAAUUUAGGGUGCAUUUAUUACCAUUUUCAAUUUGUUGUUUUUCGUUUUAUGAAAAGGAAAAUACAGAAAACUUGUUUGGUGAGCUCAUAUUGGUGGAAAACUGUACAGUGAUUAAAAACAAAAAAAAAUUCAUUUUUCAAUGUUUACAAAGGAAACAAGAAAACGCUAUUACACUGGGUUCUCUAUUUUAUUUCACUUUUACUCUCUGCCAAGGCCCUACCAUCUUAACUUUUAUAACAUGGUGUAAUAAAUUACGUGGGCCCAUUUAAUAAAGAAAUAAUCUAAUAAAUAAAUUAUUAUAACAAAUAUUUAAAAAUAAUAGCAUUCCAUACCUUACAGCUUAAUUACUUAAUAUAUUACCCAAAUUAUUUUAAAUAAAAAGUGAUAUCAUAUAAUUAUUAUACUAAAUUAUUACAUUGUUCGACCAAUAUGCAGUUAUUUAAAAAUUACUACAAACUUUCUUACAUAUAUUAAUGAAAAUAUAUCAAUAAUAAAGUUACAUCUUGACAGUUAAUAUAAAUAAAUAUAUGAUAAUUAUGAAAUAAUUAAAGAUUUUCUCAAUUAAUAUUAUCUUAUAACUACAAUUUAUUUACAUAAUUAAAAGUUUUUAAGAAAUUAUUAAAAUAUCUUCAAACCUAUAUGCAUUUAUAAUAAUAUAUAAUACAUCAUAAUAUAAUAACUAAAUAGAUAAAUUAUUUAUUAAUAUAAAAUAUAUGUUUAUAUUCAUUAUAUAAUAUUAUUCUUUCAUAGUAGUUUCAUUAAAUAAUUCUCUACUCUCUCUCUUUUUAUCUUUAUUUUUUCGGACAGACAAGUAACCAAACACCGCUUCACCUUUUUUUUAUUUUCAAAUACUAUUCUUAAAAUAAACUACCAAACAUAUUUUUAUUUUUAACAAAAACUAAUCAUUUUUAUUUUAUAAAACAAAUUGAAAAGUACUAUUUAAAAUAUAAUACCAAACUUACCCUUAAUAAUUUUAUAUUUGUCAAAAAGAUGAGAAGCUAAGUGGCACUAUCGUUUACCUAUUCAAACUAAACGUGGAGUCACAAUAUUGAAGACACUUUGGUGGCCACAACACUCUUUUCUUUAGUACGGAACAAUCUGGCUUACAUGACACUACAUAAAAAUAAAUAAUAAAAAAUCACCGAUUCCAACUGCCCCGGACAAAAAACAGGCCACACGUAAAAAGGCUUCUAUUUUUAUUUUUAUUUCUCCCCAUUUUAAAGAUGACGUCAUGGUGAUUAUGAAACCAGAAAAUAACAAAUUUUAGUUGUCUGAUUUUGUAGUUAUCCAGCGAAAACUAAAAAAACAGUGAACGCAGCAGCAGAUCUCCGUGUUUGUCGUCGUUCGAUGAGAGAUUCCGAUUCGUGAGCAUCGCAAGUGUUGAAAUGGAAUCAGACGAAAUGAGGAGUUAGCCUCUUAUUAUAUAAUAAUAAUAAUGAUAAUAAUAAUAAUAACUAAUCUCUUUUAUCAUAUAAUUGAUAAUGGAAAUUCACAUUGACAAAAGGCAAAUUACACACUGACUGGGCAGAAUAAAAAACAGUCUCUCUCAAAAGCAAUAAUUUAAACACUAACACCACCUUAAGGAGACACCCCAAAAAUAAAGCAGCAAGCUCUUACUGUGACCACACACACACACACACACCAAACUUUUAUUAUAGAAUAAAUCUAAGAUGAUGGAUGAUGGAUGCGUCACAUAAAAGUUAAUUAAUUUAAUCGCUGUCACUGCUGCUGCUGCUCUCGUGUCCGUCCUCGUGCUUCUUCUUCUUCUCCUUCUUUUUCUUCUUCUCUUCACCGUGGGCGGCGCCCUCGCCGCCGCCGACACCGGGGAUCUUCUGCUUGAUCUUGUCCACCAAGCCCUCCUUGUGUUCGCCCUCCUUGUGUUCCCCGCCGUGAUGCUGCUGCUGAUGGUGAACAUCAGUAGUGCCGACACCGGGGAUCUGCUGCUUGAUCUUGUCCACCAAGCCCUCCUUGUGUUCGCCGCCGUGAUACUGCUGCUGAUGGUGGACAUCAGUAGUGUGGUGGUCCCCACUAUGGUGCUCUCCCUUGUGCUUGUCCUCCUCCUUUUGCCCUCCUCCCAUGUGAAGGGCUUCUCCGAUCUUGUGAAUAACUCCUGACAUUUUCCCUUAAAAUGACUCUGUUCCUCUUCUUUUCUUUUCAAUGAAAAAUAGUUGUUUGCGAUCUUCUUCUGGUUGUUGUUGUUCUUGUUGGGUGAUCUUGGCUUGGUAUUUAUAGGCUCCAAAAGGAGGGACUAGAAUUAGGAUUAGAUUAUAGAUUAUUUUAAUACAUUUUAUGGCAAAUUCUGAUUUGGAAAGAUAAGAUUAUCCUUUUGGUUUUCCUUAUUUACCCUUUUGCACCCAUUACGUGUACGCGUCUUCGUGGGCUUUUUGGGUAUUUCAAUUAUAUCGCCAAUGCUAAAUCGACACGUUGCAUAUCAGCCGCGGUACUGCCGUAUGUAGUUGUCCAGAAAUCGAGUCGAUUCUCGAUCGUACAAUAAUUAAAUAAUAUUUCAUACGAAAUGAGUUUAGAUAUAUUUUGAAAAUUUAUUUUUAAUUUAAUUAUACGUGUUAUAUAUUUGUUAAUCGAAUAGAGGUCCCACGUAACAGAGUGUUUCUCUAAUCUUUCAUUGCUUUUAAUUAAUUUUACCCAAAUAAAAAAAAAAAGGAAAAUUUAGAGAGAGAGAGAGAGAUAGCGAAUUAGAAGUUGAUUGUAAUAUCGACACCUGUCAGACAAUCAAAUAUCGUUAGUUAAAAAUCAGUUGUCCAUAGUCAUGGUCAUAGAUGGCGAAAUUGAUACUUAUUUUAAAAAACAAAACAAAACAAAACGAAACGAAACUAAACUAACAGAUGUUGAAAUGCAGUUCCGUGUUAACAGUCUGUGAUGAAUCUUUAUCUUUGAGUAUACCAUUCAAGAAAUUAUCAUUCAAAAAUUUAUUUAAAGCAGCAGCAAAUCACCUUCUAAUUCCUGAAUCAAAUUAAUUCGAUUUUUUUCGAGUCGAUCAAUUCAUUAGAGAAUUAACGGGCUAAGUUAAAGUUUUGUUAGUUAUUUUUUUUUAUAUUCCUUUAGAUGAUAUGAUUGUCAUUGUCUUUCUUUCUCUGGGCAACAAUAAAUACAAGAUGUGCAAAAGCGUAGUGGAACAUAAUUCGAUUAUGGGUAAAGGGAUCAGUCCGCAUAAUGAGGAUAAAGUUUUUCUCUUUAAAAAAAUUUAACCCAAAGAAAAGGUCGUAGUUUGUAAUAGCCGACACGCAGAUAGAUCACAAAGCAUGGCGGUCCUGAUGGCAAUAACUAACUGAUAUCUUCUGCGAUGAGAGGAGAUCACGUGGUUCUGACACGUAUCGCCCCAUCAACUGAUGUUGUGGCUGCAAUCGCGGCCCAGUCUUUAGAGAGAAGAAAGAUCUGUUAUAACGGGACCUACUUUAGCAUCUAUUUACGACAAAGCCCCUAUUUACUCUACUUAGUAGUAAUAAUAGCAAGUGUCGGGCUUGGAUUCCGUGUUGCUUUAAAUAAAUAUCCGCGUAAAAAGAAAAUGCUUCUUUAAUCCCUUCCUUGUAAUUUUUCGACACGUGGAUGGUUGAAAUUAGCGUGCCGACAUCUUAGGAAUUUUAUCUUGGAGACGGGAACACUGCAGUAGGCAAUGCCAUUUUCUUCGGAUGGUGUGUGGUGACAACGCCUUGGAUUUUGACGUGCAAAGAAUUUAAAUUGAAAAAGAAAAAAAGAAAUUACCAGAAUAAGCAUAGAAGAGAUAUUUUUCUUUUUGUCCUUUUUGGAAUGGAAAAAGAGAUCAAGAGAUUGUUCCAGUAAGUAUUACACAUGUCACAGGCUUAUUCAUGCCCCAUUAUGGCAACUUUUAUGCCUCGCGGUGCCCUCGGUUCCAGCAUAAUAGCUAAGACUUCAAUUUUUCUAACAUAUUUUUGUUACAAAUAUGAACGGAGUAAAUGUAUAACUUUAAUCCUUUGAAUAAAGAAAUGGCGGUUCUCCUGCUCGUUAAUCUCACUUGAAUCCCACCCAGGCAAAAUUUCUUUAUUUUAUUUAACAACAAUUUAAAGAAAGAAACUUUUGCCAGGUUGAAUUUCAAGUGAGAUUCAUUCGUGGGAGAAGUGCCAUUUCUUUAUUCAAAAGAUUAUGGUAAUUACAACUUUCAAUUUCGACAUAAAUUAAAAUUAUAGGCUAUACAAUAAAAUUGCCCUAAAUUAGUCCUAAUCAAUUCAGAUUAUAAAUUUAGGUAUAUUUAUUAUUUUAAUAUAUUAAUGUUCUAUAUAUAUAUAUAUAUAUAUAUAUAUAUGUGUGUGUGUGUGUGUAUNNNNNNNNNNNNNNNNNNNNNNNNNNNNNNNNNNNNNNNNNNNNNNNNNNNNNNNNNNNNNNNNNNNNNNNNNNNNNNNNNNNNNNNNNNNNNNNNNNNNNNNNNNNNACAGCAGAAAAUAUUUGCUAUGGAUAAGGAGACAUGGUCCCACGUCCCACCGUCCCAAUGCAUAUUUUGUAUGUUUCCAUCUUUUCUGAAAUUUUAAUAAAUAAAGUUUUUUGACCACUUGGCCAAAGAACCUUACCCUUACACAACUUUGUGGUUGGAGUCCUGUGAUACAUGUAAGAACUUAUUUUUUUUCUUAAUUAUAAUAUUUUAGAAUAUAAUUAAGUGAAGUAGGUUUUUUUUUUAAAUAUGAGUAAAAUAGAUAUUUUUUAAAUAUUAAAGAGAGUAAAAUUUGAAUAAUAAUAUAUUAAAAUUAAUACAAACUAAUUUUAAUAAUUAUUUAAUUAUAAAUAUCAAUUAUAACAUCAUAUAAUAUCAAUUAUAAUAUCGUACAUCUCAAUUAAUUCAAUAAUAAUAAUAAUAAAUGUUUUUUGGGAUAAGUAAACAGUCGCAUGGCGACAAUAGUGGAUCUGGAUUAGAGUGAAGUGGUCCCAAGAGGCUGAGGCUGUGGCUGUGGAGUUCUAAAAGUCAAAAGCUCCACGCACUUUGUUUCAGUACCAUACACACUGAAAAAAUUUGCAUUUGCAAUGACGAAAACUUUUCACGAAAUCAAAACACCUCUAAACUAUUUUGUUAUCGAUAUUUAAUGGAGGGGUUUCCUACCUUUUUAACACUCGAUUCACGCCUUGACGCAUCUCACAGAAAACCUCAUGAUCCCAUUAAUCUUGCGUAACAUAUCUCAAAGCCAAUGCAAGUGAUCUUGUUGCCUACUUCCCUUUGACGAUUCAAAAUUGUUGAAAAUAAUUCUUUUUUUUUUUAACCUCAAGGAAGUGACAAAAUAUAAAAGAAUAUUUUCUACACAUUAAACAUCUAGAUUUUUUUUUCUUUUCUUUUUAGAGUACUUGCACAAACCGUUUCCAAGAGAGACCUUUUUUUUUUUUUUUUUUUUCCGGGCUUGGUUACUAAUUUGGUGUGAAUACUCUAUGGUGAAAAAGGAAUCACAAAGCUGUAAUCAAUUUUUUUGCAUCAUUUAGUUGUAACUUGAACAUUGGGAGGUUUAUAAAGAAUUAAAUUAAUUAUAAUGCCUCUACUAGGAAAAGUUCAGAGUAGCCCUUCACAACUUUUUAAAGGCUUAAUAAUUUUCGCUUUCUUCCUCUCAUAACAUAACAAAAAAUUAAGAGCUUUACUCGUACACGUCCUAUGGCUAUAUAGUAUUGGGUUCUCUACUUCAAUCGGCUAUCUCAAACCGAAGGUUAUUUGGACACACCAGCAGUCACGUUUGGAAACUCUCAAAUGCUUGGAUUGUAAUUCUUGUGGAUGAGAUCAUCUAAAUCUUGGGCCCAAGCCGGACAAUGGGUGGACAAAGAACCCUAAAAUACAGUAAAGCUUCUAACACCCCACUAAAACUCUUAAGAAAUCCUACCUUUUAUUUUUAUAUCUCUUUCUUUUAGAAAUUAUAGAGAAGACAUAGCAUUUUAAUUAUUUUCCCUGCCAUUGAAAAUAAAUUCUGUAAACAUAUUUUUUCAUAAUAAAAUUAUUGUUAUUAGAUAAUUUAUUUCUUCAUUGUUUCAAAAUUAUUAUAAUUUUAUCAACAAAAUUAGUUAUGUCAUAUAUUAGGAUUAAAAUUAAUUAGGAUCCAUAACUUGUAAAGACAUUUUAGUUUAAUUGAAUUCAUAUUUGUCAUUUUAUGUAAUUUUCAAUAAAAAUACGACUAUGAGUGCAAAAGUGGGAUGACAUAAUAUUAAAAGAGUGUGAAAUAAUCGGUAAUUGAAAUGGAUUGAAAUCAUAAUAGAGUAUGAAAAUCAGAAUAAAUUGUUUACUUUAGUUGUAGAAAUCAAAAUUAAAAUAAACCAUAUUAUCAUUGAUGUAUAUAUGUUUUCUUGUAAUCGAAAUGAAUUCUUAUAAGUUACUAUAAGACCCUUAUGGUGUGUUUACUAAUCAGAAAUCAGAAUGGAGUGGAAUUUGAAUAUAGAAUGGUAGGGGUAUUCGCGGAUCGGAUUUUACGGAUUGGACAUUAAUUCAUAUCCGAUCCAUAAUUUUACGGAUUAUAAAUUCUCAACACAAUCCAAAUCCAAUCUAUAUGUUUGCAGAUCGGAUGCGGAUUUGACUCAAUUCAUAUCCAAUCCACUAUUUGACGGAUUGAUUUUGGAAUUAAAAAUUUUUAAUUUUGUCCAAUCUAUGAGGUAAUUAAAUUUAAAAAUCUAAUAUAAAAAUAAUUUAUUAAAUAAAAAAUUAACGUAAAAAUAAUUUUACUACCAAUUAAAUUCAAAAUUGAACAAGAUUUAAAUAAAUUAAUUAUUUAAAUAAAACUAGAAUAAUUUAUUUAAAAUUUUUAAAUAUAACAUAUCGAAAAAAAAUUCAUUUGUUUAGAUUAAUAUAUGAAAAUUAACUAAAAUUAUGAAUUUAAAUGUUGAAAUUUGAGAGCUUGGAUGUAACAGGAAGAAAUUAAGAAACUUGAAGAACUUGAAAAGAAAGUAACAAAUUAAGCUUAACUACCUCUAAUGGUGAAGUGAAACAGUGAUGGUUUGUGCGUGCAAUGGGGUACAAAUUUGGCAUUAUAUGCCAAAAUAUUUUGUUUGGCUUUAGAAUUUUUAAUGUUUAGGAAGCUAUAUUUGUUUAUUUAAUUACUCAAAUAUUUAAUUAUUUUUUAUUUUAUGUUAUUAUUGAAUAAGAUAUAAUAUUGUGUUAAUUUAGCUAUACUUUAAUUAAUUAAUUAAUUUAUUAGUAAGUAGCAUUGCUACAUUUAUAAGUUUUAUUUUUUAUUAAAUAAAUACUUUUUUUUUUCAGAUUCACGAAUUUUUACGGAUUUACAGAAAUAAAUCCAUAUCUAAUCCAUCGACUGUGGUUUUUUAAAUUUUCAUUCCAAUCCGAUCUACCAAUCCACAAAUUAUAUUUUUACGGAUCGGACGAAUUGAGCGGAUCAAAUUGGGUUCUGAACACCCCUAGAGAAUGAGAAUCAAAAUAAAUUAUUUACUUUAGUUGUGUGAAUCGGAAUUGGAAUAAAUUGUACUGUCAUUGAUGUGUUUACUUUAUCUUGGAAUCAGAAUGAAUAAUUUCAAAUUACUAAACUGACCUUAAUUUUUUAUUGUAAUAAUAAUAGUAGUAGUAGUAGUAAUAGUAGUAAUUUUCUAUUAUUAUUAUUAUUUUCUCUCUCUUUUGUUUUUAUUUUUUUAUUUUUCUCUUCUUCUUCUCUUCCUCUUUUUUUAUUUUUCUCUAAUUCAUCGAUACUUCUUCUUCUUCUUUUUUCUUUCGUUUUUAUUUUUAAUUUUUCCCUUCUUUAUCGUUCCUUCUUCUCCGUCCAUUCUCUAUCUUCAAACUCUUUUUACUUUUUCUCUUAUUCUUCAUUACUUCUUCUCCCUUUUUUUUUUUUUUCUCUUCUUUAUUAAUUCUUCUUCUUCUGCGUCUAUUCUUCAUCUUCAAAUUAUCAAGUGAAAAAUACCCACGGUGCCUUACAAGAAGAAUUGGUUUUGUUUGCUUCAAUUAUUUUUUGUAUUUUGUACUUUUGAUUGUUUCAAAAGAGGAUAAACUUGUAAUAAUGCAAUUUAAGUAGGGAUGUUUUAGACAAUUUUGGGUAUGAGAGUCUAAUUCCCAACCCCCCACUCCCUCGUAGCAGACUCCCAUUCUUCAUUCCUAACUUGGUGUUGGACCUACUAAAAUAAAUCCCAUUCCCCUUCUUAUUUCAAGAAGCAAACACGAUUUUGAUUUCAAUUCCCCAAUCCGAAAGUAAACGCACAAAAAUUGUACCCAUAUGAGAUUGCUUAUCCUCGAGUUUUUAGAUUGAAAAAAAAAAAGGAAAAAAGAAUGGCCCCAUUAGGAAGGGAUUUUAAGUGUUAGAUAAAGCCGGUGUUAACCAUUAGAAGGUCUCCGACCUUCAACUGUAAUAUAUUAAACCCAGAUAAAUUUACAUAUAAAUCACACAAACCAACAUGCCAAUCAAAUAAAUUACAUCAACUAACAACAAUUGACACAUUAAUUUUCAUAAUACAGAGGAUGCAGAAAAUUAAAAUGUUUUAUCUUUUCUCCUUAUUUGUGAAUUGGAAAAUGAAAAUGUUAAACAUACAGAAGAGUGAAACAGGAUGGAUAUAUAUACACACACACACACACACAGCUUUGGAGUUCAAUGUCAUCGUAUUGCUCCAAGAAGAUUGGCGCCAUCAAGCUUUGCACCUUCCAGAUGCUGUUUAAUCAUCACCAUAACACCUUCAGUAGACAUUAAUACAUAAUAGAAACACAAAAUUCACAUGAUCUGAAUGUCUGGUCUAUUUUACUUACCGUAUCUCGAAGAUUUACGUGCCGUAAAUAAGCUCUUUGAAGGUUGGCACCCUUUAAAUUGGCAUUACGUAGCUUUGCACCCUGCCGCAUAAAUGUUCGAAGUUUCAACAAAUUAAAGUCUCCUGAGAAAUACAUGUCACGAAAAAGUAGGGCUGAAACUUGCAUCUAAUGUACAAGAUUCAAUCAGGGGUGCUUGUCCCACAGUGAAAGUGUAUGGGGGAAAGUGCACUUUCACAAACCAAAGGGGCAAGAUGUGAUUAUCACACGAUUACAAAAGGACUGUAGUCAAGAGAGAGAACUGAACAUGCAGCUUGUAUUGAGGCCAUGAAAAUUGAUGAAAAGCAGUAACAAGCAACCAUUUUGAAAACACUUCAUAUGGUCGAAUCAAUAAAUCAAAGCUAAAAUGAUGUUGACGAUCGAUAGCUUUUAGGUGAUAAGAGUCUUGGCACUACAGUUAAAAUUAUUAUCUAGGAGUGCACACAUUAAUAAAAAAAAACACAACCAAUAAGCAUGCACUCUUAAUCAGCAUAUAAAUUAACAAGUUAGUUGCACCUUAUGUUGUUCCACAAACAGAUUGCUCGAACAAUUCACAAUCUUACCUU
rnacentral:lncRNA from 1 species